ACUGAUCAUUUGAAUUAUUCAUGACAGAACCAAUUUUGAUUUGAAAUAUGAUGGCCAAGAACAAAUCACACUGCUUUUCAAUGGUUACCAUAAAUUUUCAGAAGUUACAGAAGAUUUUUUAUCAAUUGAAAAGACAAUGGUCACAUAUAUCUACAAUUAACCACCAGUAAGCGUGAAAUACUACAUCACAAUGCAAUAGCAGCUAUACAGGAUGUCAUGCCAUUCAUACUAUGACAAAUCACAAAAGUGACAAUUAAAGGGCACCUAACAGACACCCCCAUCUCUCUCUCUCUCUGCAAUAGCAGAAAUCCCUCGGGUUUCAGGAAGCAAAUGGAAAACAAAAUGCUUUUACAUCCCCUACCCAUACCCAUACCCCUCCCUUACCCAUUCCCUUUACCCUUGCAGAAAAUCCUCCCAUCUCUCUCUCACCCUUGUCCCAUCUCUCUGUCUGCAAAUCGCAGAAAAGAAACCCUGAACAAAUCACUGAAAUCCCUCGCCUAAAUCCUCCCACAUUUCUCUCAGACACCCUCUAUCUCUCUCUCUCUUUGCAAACCCUAAACCAAAUCUCCUAAAUUCUAUCUCGGACACCCCACAUACAGCCAAGAAGCCAAGAUAUUAAAGCAAUCUCUACAUAAUACUUUGGAACAAUGAAGCAAAAUGGUACUUACUUGUUCCUUGUCCAAAACCGUUGGUGCCGCCGCACAUUGUUAUUAAUUGUGGGUUGAUCAAAUCCUUCAUGGCUUAGACUGCAUGAAGAAUUAGAAACUAAAAGAUGAAUAUAUGCUGUAAAUCAUCAUAUAAAUGUAACUGCAUUUAAAAAAAGAAGGGAAUGAAAAAUUGAAUUCUAUUUCAUCAGUAUGUAACUGCAUGAAAAGUUACAUUGAAUGCAGACUCAAUCAAUUUCCCCAAAGUCAUUGUUAACUGAAAAUCAAUAUCAAACCCAUAAAUACCACCAUUGAAUUUGCGAAACCCAAAAACAAAAUACAAAAAUUUACUCAUAUAAUCACAGAAAAACAUGAAAUUUGAGCACAUAUUUGGCAAAGUUAAAGGAUAAAGGCACUCACAUCAUCGUAGUACUCUUCGGGAAGAACUUCUAAUAAUGGUUCUUCCUUUUUCUUGCUCUUCCUCAGAGCUGCCAUAAAAAAACCCAGAGAAGCACACAAAUUCAGAAAAGAAAAGGUCCAAAACAGCCAUAAAAAAUCCAGAAAGCAUACAAAUUUAUCAGAACAAAAACCAAAUGAUGUGAGAUAGUGAGAGGUUGUGUUAGGCACCCGUAACACGUUUUGGUUUCAAUUAAAACGGCCAGAGCGUUGCAUGCGAGGAAGAUGACGAUAGGAUUCCAAACACAACAUCCACAUUCUUUUUUCUUGGGUGAACUAACCAAAUCAUAUUAUAUACUAAAAUGACAUAAAAAAUCAUUCACAAAAUCACAACAAAAUAGAACAAAAACAUUCACAAAAGAAUUCCCCAAGUUUUCAAAUGGAAAUUAAACAUUUACAUAGCUUAUAUAAAAAGCCGAAAUAUAAAAAUUAAUCAAAAGGUUGAGAUAACUCACAUCCCAGUAAUGCUUAUUGCUGAUAUUAACACCCACUGACAGCAGCCCUCGGUUUGUGGAAUUCCCACGCCCAACUCCAUGACCUCUGUCUCUGCCAUCCCUCUUUCCCUCACAACCAUACCCACUUUCGACCCACCCCUCAAUCCCGACACCAACCCUUGAUUUAAGGAGGAAAAAUCAAUCCAACCACCCUUUUCGCAAGCCUCACUCCUCCCUCUCCCUUCCCCUCCCUGCCAAUCCCAUGCCCAUCUCCCUCGUUGUAGCUCAGCAACCCACGUUUUUUGGCACCAAACACUAUGUCCUAGGAUGAUGUGACAAUUUAUCAAAGUCAGAAAAUGCAUUAUCUCAGUUUAGGUUGGUAGCAUAUAUGAUCCCUGUGCAGCAACAUAGAAUACUUAGUAAAAGUUGCAUUUCUGAGAACAAAUAACCAAUGCUUGACCGAAAAAACAAUGCAGAUGCUUUAGUAUACAGAAUUACAGUUUUAUUCAAGCUUCUCAGUCACAAACUAACCUUCCUUUGUCGAGCAGCAAGGAGGAGGGGGAGAAAAUUGAUUCCUGGAGGAGCUUUUUCGUUCAAAACUAAGUCAAGCUGCAAGGACGAAGGGUCGAGGAUUGUUCGUGAGCUGGUGUUGCGGAUAUAAACAUAUAGAAAGCUCCACUGUGUCAUAACAAACACAAAUUGAAUAUGAUCACCAUGUCACAUUAAUUACCUAAAAUUCAAAAUGUUAUAUACAUUAGUAUGUUGAAAAAAUUAGUUACAUUUCAUUAAACUAAAAAAUUUACAGAAUAUGAGAAAUAAAGAAUUUGUAUUGUUUAUAUAAAAAUAGAAUAACAAAGAACAUCAUUGACUACCAUUUUAUUCGGUAGUUUCCUCCAACUGCAAUUGUUGAGAUUGUAGGAGAUCUUCGAAUAAAGCCUUCAAUUCAACCAUCCGUACACAAACAUAAUAGACAAUGUUUUUUAGCGAAUUAUGGACAAAGCUUAAUAUUCAAAUGCAAUGAAGUGGAAAACACAAUCCAAUAUAUGGAUAUGCAUGCUAUAGGAAACCAUUCAUUUGUAGAUGGUAUUGUGUCACCAAUAUUGUAUUUAAAAAUCUACCCAAGAUAAAGAUGCAAUAUAUAGUUUGGUAAAAAAUCAAAACGAAGAGUUAACAAAGGAAAAGGAUUAAGACGUUGAAAAUACAAAACUGGAUUCUUUUAUUUGGUAAAGACGGUUCCCCCACUGGCUGUCUGAAACCACAAACACUUUUUACAUAGAAACUUUAUAAACUAAUAGAUUAAAAUAAAUCUAAGUGUUAUAAAUGAAAAAUCCUGGGAUUGAUAGUAAUGGCAUCAACAGUGCCACCACAUCCCAAAUAAAUGAAUGAAAAUAUAGUGAUUAACAUCCAACAAAGAAGCUCAAGCUUGAAAUAAACCAAGGCAUAAAAGCUUACCAAACUUUUCAAAUGGCUAAAUUGUUCAUUUAACAUGAUAACUUCUUCCUGCAAUCCAUAAGUAAGACCAUUAGAUGCGGUAAACAAAACAUCAUACUUCAUAUAUGGCAAUCUAGCAGAGAAACCAAUUGCAUUCAGAUGGAGCCUAAUUUGUGGAACUACAUUUAUAUGCACUGAAAUGCAUUAUCAUGUUGUCAUAUUUAAAAACUGAGGUUUAUGCAGUAUGCUAUCUUUAGCAUACACAAAAUUUUUGCCCCUCAUUUUUGAAGUUCCGCACUUCAUAAUUUAUAUACUUUCAGUUUCCCUUCUAAUGAAGGUAUGGACUGCUUUCCAUUUGGAAUUUUCGUAAGACAAUGUUAUGAUAUUCCUAAUUUAGAAUGUGUUUCCACUCUAAUGAAUGCAAGCCCUAAAUCAUAAAUAUUGUACAAUUAUGUGUUUGAGCACGUGGCAGGGCAUGAGAAUCAGAACCACUCCGUGUUGUUCUCCGCUUCGUGAUUUGGUCAUCAAACAAUACUUCAUUCCCUCCAUCCUUUAUCACGUCUUCUUGGUGAUCAUUUGUCCAUCUCCAAACUGUAUCCACAAAAAACUACAAAUUAAUCCCAAAAACAAUCAUACAAAAAAAUUGCGGAUUAGAUUUGAUUACGUACCAUUUUCCCAGGAUGUAGAGCUCAGUGAUGAUGCCCUCCUCGCUUUGCACCUUAAACAUCGACAUUUUAAACCAGAAACCAAAAUCAAACAAACAUAAAGAAAUACGACUGACAGAAUCACACUGUAAGACACCACUCCCUCGCUUCCACGGUUCCAACCACAACACCAAAAACAACAAUAACAAUAAUAACAAUGUACACUCAGACAAAACAAAAAUGCACCACAGCCCUCCAGUGCUAUAACAGCACUUCUCUUCUAGGACAACUUUGAUAUCUAUGGACUGUUCCCUUCUCCAUGUUACAACGAUAGUAUUAGAGCUCUUACAACAUCACAGAUGCAUGACCAAGAGUGUAUUCGACAACCUUUUCUCUGAUCCUUUUCAUCAGUUGGUCCUAAAGAUUGUAUUCUUCUAAAUUCAUCUUCUUUUUGGGUAUCCAGAGACAUUUAUCACUUCAUAUGCCGAACACAAAACACCUAACAUUUUGGGUGACAAAUUAGAAGCAACUAAUCGGAAUAUGGGUACUGAGAAUUGAAUUACUCUUUGUUCUUAUAGUCCUAAUGGAAAUUACUCGUUGAUUCACAAAAUUAAUCAAACUAAAAUGCAAGAAAAGCAAAAUCAACAACCCAUACAGAAUUAUGAAAAGAUCCCAACAAACCAACCAAACAAUUAACAUUUAAAAAAAAAAAUUGCAAAGUUGGAGGGAAAGAAGCACGAGAAAAAAUAUACACAUCCAAUGCUUUUAAUCUAAAGCUAGAAGUAGGAAUAACUGAGUAAGUUAAUGAAGGCAAAGCAGAGGGUAGGAAGCAGAACAUACCAAGAGACCAAUAGGGCAUCCGGGCCGGUCUGCCGAUGAACGCCGUGUCCUGGUCGACAACGCCCAACGGCGUCGGCCCUGCAAAGAAGUAAAAGUCGAAAACACUCCCAAUGACCUUGUAGGUGAGAGAAGUCCCUCUGUAGAACACAUCCAUGCCAUUGCUGUUGAUCAGCAUAACAGAGUGCGCGUAAGCCUCGUUGCCCACAUUCUGGAGAUCCAUGUAAAACCGGGUGGGACCCGUACAAAUCAGUGUUGAGAUUGAUCGCCGAGACUUCAGUGGUGAAGAGGGUGUGUGGAUCGUUCGGGUAGAGCUUGAUCCCGUGCGGCUGAGUGUUCUCUCCGAGGCCGUACAGGGAGGCGUCUUUCGGCGGUCGGGUGGAUAUCUCGAGGUACUGGUCCUUAAACACCAGUUCGCCAUAUGGGUCUUUGGAGUAGGAGCUCAAAUGAAGAGGACCUGCCCGUUGGACUUCCUCUUGAAGGCGAACCCAAAUGGGUCGGAGAUGAAGCUGAGAAUGAGCUCAGAGCCGGAGUAGUCUGAGACUUCGAUGGGGUUCUUCGUCUUCGCCUGAAACACGUUUUGGUUUCAAUUGAAAAGGCCAGAGCCUUGCAUGCGAGGAAGAUGACGAUAGGAUUCCAGAGAUAGAGAAAGAAGGAGUAAGACGACGGAGGCGAGAGAAGGAAGACGGCGGCAAGAGGAGGAUAGGACGGAGGCGAGACCAUCUGUAUCGUAGGUCUGUGAGACGUACAAGGCAAGGAGGGUUUGAGAAGGAAACGGAAAAGGCCUGCUUUACCAUUGCUAUUCCCUUCCCGCGAUCAUCAAGGCGUGCGCAACAAGAUCAGCGGCAGAGAGAGUCUGUGGCAAAUUUGUAUAUAAAUUGAAAUUCAUCCCAAAACAUUGUUCAUUUGAAUAAUGCAAUUGGAAUCCCUUCUUUAGACAAAAGUAAUUUUUAAGUAGAAUGCCAACUUAGAUUUUGAGGAAAACUAAUGAAAAUGACUUGAAAACUUUGAGUUUUAAUGAUAAGGACAAAAUAAAUGGUAAAGUGAAUAGUAUCAUAAUUGACUUUUUAGUGUAAAAAUAUGAUUUUUCGUUAAAAUGAAUAUUACCGCGGGUUUUUCAUUAAAACUCCCUAGAUUUUAUGCAAACCAAAACCUUACCAUUAUUCAUACUUGCCAGAAGGCCUCAGAAGUCUCCACUAAAAUGCUUCCCUAAGCACAAGUACAUAAUAAUGCCACUGACAACUAGCUCGUCGAUCACCUCAGCGCUGCGGUUAAUGCUUUCGGCGCCACUUUUACAUUUCACUCUUAGUAAGAUGAGAUGAAGACGGGUUCUCAGAAGAUCCAAUUCCGGUAUCUCAAUUCAAUUGCGCAAUUGUUCCUCGUUGUAACUCGAUCUUGAGUAUUGUACAACCAUCAUAUUGCCAACAGCCUUUGAGUCCCGACUACAAGCAGAAGCAUUUACCAAGUUGUCACAAGGCCCGUCAAUACUGGCAGUGUCAUCAGCGGAGGAUGAGUGAUUAAUCGUGCUUCUGUUCUUGUUUUCAGUUUCCAUUCUAUCAUUUUCUGUAAUGACACCUAGAGUUUCAGCCGCUUCAACCACUUGCGAUUCAACAGAUGUCUUGCAAAUAACAGCGGGAUCAAUAUCAUGGCUGUGGUAAUCAUCAGGAUGAGUUACUUUGCAUUGCUCUACAAACUCCAUUGUUGAGGAAAGGAUAUUCAUGUCCUUGUCCAUCGUAUUUUCUUGGCUAUUUCUAUUUAAGAUGUCAUCCUCAAAUCCGGUUGGAUUAGUGCGAGCAUCAUCUGCAGGAGACAGGUCUUCAUCUAUCUGUUAAACAAUGACCUGUGUUUGCUUUCAGAGAAGACACUGCUAGACACAACCUCGUCAACAGAAUGCAACCCUAGUGGGGAAAUGCAGAUGAAAGAGGGAUCAACUUUUCAUCGCCAGUAAUUUCUUCUCCAUAACUCUCAUUACAUACGCCAUUUCCACGUGCUACCACAUUACUCGGUUAGGUAGCCACUACCUUUGGUUCUCUCAGCAGCUACAUCUCCAUUACCACAGUUAUUCGCAUUUGGAGAUAAUACUUCCUCAUUUAUUGGAUCCUCAUUUACUAAUCCUUGAUCUCGAUUGGCAAAAGAUGCCACAUUUAUAGUGGUAUCAUUGCUUUCCAAAUUAACUAGUCCACUUAAUUGCUUCUGUACAAAGACUGCUAAAGAAACAGCAUGAUCACGAAUCAAAGAAUCAUGAGACGGGUAGUGUAGCAUAUCGAUCAAGGCCUUAUGGUACUGUGUGGCAGAUAUUAAUAACUUUGAGUAUAUGUUCACACAGGUUGCCCAUUUCUGCCCAAUGGCAGUUGCAAAUACCAAACUCGUCAAUAACUUUUGCACGAGUACCUUCUAUGAUAAUAUUGCAGUUAAGAAUCUUCAAAGCUUUACGCCAAGAUGUUAAACCACUCGCCCACUCAUCUUUCCAAUAUUGUGCAAAAUCAUCAUUCUCAGAAUAUUCAUCAAGCCAGAAGAAGGAAUGCACUUUUGUACCCAGCUUAUUAACCAACCAAUCAACUCGUUUUUACACUCUAGGUUUAUUCUCGUUCAAUAACCUAAGCUUUAGUGGCUGUGCUAGAACUCCAUUGCCGCAGAGGUUUCCUAGCUAGCAAGAGGAAGAGUUUGUAGUGCAGAUACCCACAUCCCUGAGUCAAAAGACAUUUUUCUUGUGCGAGUUAUUCAAGAUAAAGCAAAAGAAAAUUAAGGACCCUGUUUAAAGAGAAGGGGGUGAAGGAAUUAAACGACACACUUGUUACUUCGUAUCAUAAGGCAAAAUAUACCUCUACUAAAGAUGAUAGUAACUUAGCUAAUUCUAGGAUACUAAGUUGCCUUAAAGUAAUCUAUAAAAUCUUAUUCAUCAAGAAAAUCUUCUAUGAAGUCCUCAGACAAACGCUCGGCUCCUCGUUGUUGACAGAUGUUAUCCACUGCUUGACGAAGCCUUCUUGACAUUGUAGCUCGCAUCUCAUUGUCCACACAUUUCUUUACUAAGUUUGUAUGCCAUGCAUGAGGAACCCGCCAAAAGCUUAUCAACACUGAACACUGAAAUACAUCCCUGAGUAUAAUGAAAUAAAACUGUCAGUAUCAAGUUUGGGCGAGGACUGAGCAACCAACAGGAUGGUGAGCACAUCAGCUAGAGGAUCAUCCACUAUGAAACUAGCCAACUUCCAAACAGGAUCUUUCGUUUCAAUUCUAUUGUGAAGAGCUCUCAUCCAUUUAUGGGCAUUGGAACUUCCAAACUUUGGAGCCACUAUCCACGCCACCGGGAUAGUAAUAAUGUUGCAUGUCACAUCCCGGCCCGGGACAGAUCACUUCCCGGGCCCACUCCACCACCAUAGCACGAUAUUGUCCGCUUUGGGCUUACCAUUCCCUCACGGUUUUGUUUUUGGGAACUCACGAGCAACUUCCCAGUGGGUCACUCAUCCUAGGAGUGCUCUGGCCUCCUUCUCGUUUAACUUCGGAGUUCCUAUGGAACCCGAAGCCAGUGAGUUCCCAAAAGGAGUGAGUUCUCAAAAGGCCUCGUGCUAGGUAGAGAUGGGAAUAUACAUUUAAGGAUCACUCCCCUGGGCGAUGUGGGAUGUCACAAUCCACCCCCCUUAGGGGCCCGACGUCCUCGUCGGCACACCACGGCCAGGGUUAGGCUCUGAUACCAAUUUGUCACAUCCCGGCCCGGGGCGGAUCACUUCCCGGGCCCGCUCCACCACCAUAGCACGAUAUUGUCCUCUUUGGGCUUACCAUUCCCUCACGGUUUUGUUUUUGGAAACUCACGAGCAACUUCCCAGUGGGUCUAUCCUAGGAGUGCUCUGGCCUCCUUCUCGCUUAACUUCGGAGUUCCUAUAGAACCCGAAGCCAGUGAGUUCCCAAAAGGCCUCGUGCUAGGGUAGAGAUGAGAAUAUACAUUUAAGGAUCACUCCCCUGGACGAUAUGGGAUGUCACAUUGCAACAUGAACAUAUUCGGUUUCUCAUUAUUAUUAACAAUUGUAGUUAAUAAUAAAAGGUUAAACAAACUAAACGGACCUUCAAUUUGGUUGUUCCGAACCUUGAAUCAGAAAGCUAUAAGGCUGUGAUUGCCGAAGCAAAUCAUCUGUUGCAACUGCCACUCUGUUUGAAUGCCCAAAGUGAAAGGGUCCACAUAAGAGAAAUCCUAAUAGAAGAAAACAUGACUCUGAUGGUUUUCUACCCACAUGCUAAUGCUAACCGCAUCAUCAGCAUCCAAUUCAUAUAUAGAGCAUCGAAUGACCCUCUCCUGCCUCGAACAUACCUAUAGGUUAAAAGGUCAUCACGGUUAGAUGGACCACCCUGUUUCUCUACAGAUUCAUCGUGUCUCUGCAUUAUAGUCUCCACAGAGACCCCCGCAUAUAACAAAGAUUGUACACGAAGAAGCAGAUCCUCAGAGAUACAAGGGGCAAAUAUAGCACGUGUUCCAGCAGCCAUCUUAUCUUGUGGACCAUGGCAUGGCACUCAUUUCCUAUCUACAUGCUUAUCCUGAUUAUAUAUGAUACGCGCCACUAAAGAAUACCUAGAAUACCAUCAACCUUUGGUUUGUUAGGCGUCUAUGGCUGCCGCCGUCGCCUCGCUUCAACAUGAAAUCUUGUUGGACAUUCUUUAUUAGAGCAUUCACCCCUCAGAAAAUCGUCAACUCUAGGAAACGGAAUUAGAGCAACUCCAUCUUUCUUGUCCCGCCAACCUUCCACCUUUGACCACACAAGAUCAGAAGAAGAAAACUCCAGUGCAGGUGGACUCUGCACAGGAAGGGACAUAAUCUCAUCCCAUCUAGCCAUCUACAACAAAUAAAACGGAAAUGACAAAUUUAAUACAAUAGUCAUUUUAACAGAAGAAUCAAGACCAAAAUCCCAAUAGUCACACUCACACCUAACCCUUAACUAUUAGUUGAAUAAAAGGUUUUUCUAAUCGAAAAAAUGAACAAAAAUGGCGGAUUUUGCAACUGGCUUCGUAAAAUCACACGUUAAUAACAGUAAUAGAGGUCCUUUUUACUCUAAGCAGUACAAAAGAAAGUCAAAAACUUCAUAUCUGAUAACAAGAAAACAAACAAACAAACAAAAAAGAAGAAACAAUUUAAUUCAUGCAAUACAUUUCAUUCCCAACAAGAGAAGUUCAAAACUUUAGCAAACAAUUAAACUGAUUUCGUCUCUGUUUUCAUAAAUUCUCAGAAAUUAACAGUCGAAAAACACAAAUUAAAGGAAAAAAAAAGUGAAAUUCUUUGGGUUGUCAAAUAGAGAAAUUAUAUUCACACACCCAAAAUUUCUUCCACACAUUUUUAAUUUUUAUUUUAUUUUCUACACACUACUAACACUUGAUAGAAAAAGAUUAAAAAAUUAAAGGAUGUGAGGGAAGUAAUUUAGGAUGUGUGAAUAUAAUCUCCCUUUUAGAUAAGUGAAGUCGUUAGCUUCAGAGUCACACAUUGAGCUAUAUCGAUAUGUAUAGUAUCACGCCCUUUAUGCAAAAAGAUCCCCAUUUUUUCAAAAAAAUGGGGAUUAGGUGUAGGUCCACUCCACAACGAACUUUAAUGAUCUGAAUCGUUUAUUUUGUAAGGAACCAAAUCCCCUGCGGAUCCCUAAAAACUGAGCCUUCUGAGCAAAGAAUUAGGACAAUUGAAAUUUGAUCAAACGGUUACAAACAGGGCCCCUCUAAAAGUUAUAAUAAUUGUAGUCAUUGGAUUAAAUUUCAACGGCCCAAAUUCAUUGCUCAGGGGGCUCAGUUUUUGGGGAUCCAAUUCCAAUUUGUAAGUCUCAUUUCAUAGAUUAUUCUUACAAGAAUUCAAUUCAAUCCAAAAUCAUUUAUCUAUUUUGUAAGUCUCAUUCCAUAAAUGUCAUUAUAUCAUCAUUUCACGUGCUACCACAUUAUUCGGUUCAGCAGCCACUUUACCCUUGGUUCUCUCAGCAGUUACAUCUCCAUUCCCACAAUUACUCAUUUGAAGAUAAUACUUCCUCAUUCAUUGGAUCCUCAUUUCCUAAUUCUUGAUCUCGAUUGGUAAAAGACGCACAUCCAUUGUGGUAUCAUUACUUUCCAAAUUAGCUAGUCCACUUAAGGGUGCGUUUGUUGCACUGGAAUGUCUCGGAUUGGACUAGCUUUAGGAACUAAGCUGGAUUGUCUUAGAUUAGCUUAAUGAAGCAUUUGAUGCAGUAUCGGACUAAAAAGUAGGAUAAAAAUUAAUUUUCCUUUUUUUUUUAUCCAAAAACAAAGAACUCUAUCUGUCUCUCCAUUUUCUUUGGUCAAACUAUCUCUCCUCCUUUUUCUCCAUCUCUUCCAUUUUCCUUUCCCGUCCAAUUCCUUUUUCCUUUUCUUCUCGAUCACAAAUAUACACAGUUCACAUGCAAACCAAUUUUCCAUCAGACCAAACAACACCCAUCACCUGCCUUAUCAAUCCAACAAAAUUCCCAAACUUUCCCACCCUAAAAUUUGACAAUUCCAUUCAAAUUAAACAAAAGUUAGAGCUGGAAAACUGAGGAAAGAAAAAGAGAGAGAGAGAGAGAGUAAACGGAUCACCAAUAGUAGGAGGCGGCAACGCCAUAUAGUUUGAGGACGAGCAGUAGCGUAAAGGAGAAGAGGAGGCUAUGGGCCGCCAAGGCCUGCACGAACUUCAACAUUCUCCGCUAGUUCAUCAUCAUCGUAAAACAAUGUCGUCCGCUGCAAAAGUCGAGACUUUAGAUUGUGAGAAAUCUUAGGAGGAGGUUGAUGUUUCAGUAUACGCCAUUGAAACGAAAGAGGCAAGAAAUAUUCUUUCUCUCCUUCUUCUUUUUCAUCGUUCGGGUUGACCUAGAUGGCAAAAAAUCCCAAAUCACCAACCCAGAUGCCAAAAUGGCGCUGGGUUUGCAGGACGAUGGAGAUCAGAGACAACCGUUUCUGGAGAAGGGGGGUUAAUGCUACUCAUGUGGGUUCGUAGGACGCUGCUCGCAUACCAGGGAGACGGGACUAGCAAUCCCGUUGUUUUUGGGGGGCCUCGCUAAGACCUCCUAGUGAGGGAUUUAGUCGAGGCGAGUCCUCCUUUGUCCCAUUUACCUUUAGUCCCGCCAGUGAACAAACAUGGAUUGCACUAACUUUUAACUUAAGCGUCGAGUGAGAACUAAAGAAGGCAAACAAACACCCCCUUAAUUGCUUCUGUACAGAGACUGCUAGAGAAACAGCAUGAUCAAUUGAUUUUGACGGAGUUCUUCAGCUUAAUUUAUUAGUUUUGGAUUACAUUGCUCUUGUUUAAACUUUCAAGUAAUCUUUUUCCAUAUGAUUACUUCUAUUUAAGGGCUCAUGGCUUGGGAAUUGUUAUGCUAUUAUCACCUAAAUGCUCAUGUAAAUUGAAUUCGAUCAAAUUUUUACUAGAGUAGUCGAAUUUCUAUUAGAGUUGUUCUUAGUCAUGUUUGAAUUGCCAUGUUUAUCUUAUAUUUUCUUGAUGCAAACCUGGUCAUUUUUUUAUCUAUGCAUCCAGAGCAACAAUCAUGUGAUUUCUUGACAAUGAAUUGGACUUGUUUUUUUUUUUUUUUUUUUUUUGCACUUUAGUUGUUUAUAGUAACAAAUUCACUUGAUCAAUUGAUAUGUUCUUUCUGUAUAUAUAAAAAAUAUGUGCUAAAAUUCUUAAGUGUGUAUCAAUACACACACACACACACACACACACACACACACACACACACACACACACACAUAUAUAUAUAUAUAUAUAUAUAUAAUUGUAUACACAGAUGGUUAAGAAGGAAAGUAAUGGGGCAAGUGGAUCACAACUGCCAGCUGUAUGGAAUGCUCACAAUACAUCACUAUUUUGUGACGUGUGUAUCAAGGAAGUGGAGGCAGGAAAUCGUCCUGGUACCCACUUUAAAAAAGAGGGAUGGGAAAAUGUGAGUAUUAACCUAAAUAAAGAGACUGGAGAUGAGUAUAGUAAACAACAGCUAAAAAAUAAGUGGGAUGCACUUAAAGAGCAAUGGAAAUUAUGGAAAGAACUAAAGGGAAAAGAAACUGGUCUAGGAUGGAAUCCCAAGCUCAACACCGUUGAUGCUUCGGAUGAGUGGUGGCAUAAUAAAAUUCAGGUUUGUAAGCUUCUUGUUAGUUUCUGGAUGUUGUUUGUCUAUUAUUGAGCUUGAAUGCAUUUUAAUACUUGUUUCUUUAAAUUGCAGAUCAACAAAAAAUAUAAAAGUCUGCGUAGAAAAGGAAUUAGCCCUGAUAUGGAAGAUAAGCUAGAUAGGAUGUUCAUGAAUACCACUACUGGUGAUCAUGCUUGGGCACCCUCGUCUGGUGUACUUCCAUGUGAAAAUAAUGAUGAAUCUGAUGAGGAUGAUGGCAUUCAAAUUGACAGUAGUGAUUUUGAUGAUGUUAUCCCACUCAAAAAUACUCAAGCCGAUGAGAAGUAUUUGGGGAAGAAGAAAAAAAGAACUCAACAAUUUGAUACACAAGUUAAGAAAGAGAAUAAGGAUAAAGGAGUUGUUGCAAAGAAGGGGAAAUUGGGAGGUGCUGCUAAGUUGUCAGAACAGAUUGAUCGUAUGGUUAGUGCAAUUGAGAGUAGAAAUACAACAACUUCAAACAUGGCCAAGGGCUUACAAAAUAGUAGCAUUGCUGAAGUGAUGAAGAUAGUUUCAUCUUUACCUGGUGCAGGGCCUGGGAGCCCUUUGUGGUUAUUUGCAACUCGAUUAUUUCUAAAACAAGAGAAGAGAGAAAUGUUCUUAACUAUAGAAGAUCUGGACAUCAAGUUUCAAUGGCUUAACUAUGAGCAAGCUGAAAAUUAAGUGCCAUGUGAUGCAUUUAGUUUGCAAAGUUUUAUAUUUCGUGGUAGACAGUAUAGUCUAAGAUAUCUUUAAACUUGAGUUUAUUAUUUUGAUUUGUCAUUUGGGAUGGUUACUUGGAUUUCUUUGUGUUUUACUUGGGAUUAUAAUUGGAUGGUUUUGGAUUCUUUAUUUAAGAAUAAUUUUUUUUCAUGCAUGUACUCCUAUUUGUAGGAAUAAUGAUGAGAUUUUUAUUUUUUUUUCAAAAUUGCAGAUCUCUUUCAAGAUAUGGACAUCUUGCAAGAUGAGGAAGAGUUCAACCAAACUGUAUGCCUUUGUGUUCGUACUAUAGAACAUUAUUAUCAAACAUAUAUCCACAAAACACCUUGUAUGGAUUCAUCUCAAACAGGAUAUAAGUGGUUAAUGGAAAUAUUACGGGGAAAGAGGCGUUGUCAUAGGAUGUUCAGAAUGGAUAAAGAGGUAUUUAUGAGAUUGUGUAGUGACCUGCAAAACAAGUAUGGAUUGAGGGGUUCAAGGAGAAUGUGUCCUGGUGAAAUGUUAAGAAUGUUUUUGUUUAUUCUAGGACAAGGUGAAGGGAAUAGGUCAGCACAAGAACGAUUUCAACACUCCGGCGAGACUGUGAGCAGAUACUUUAGUCAGUUACUUGAUAUUGUAUGCCUUAUGGCUGUUGAUGUUAUCAAACCACUGGAUCCUAUGUUUAAUGGUGUCUCUGCAGAGAUAUUAAGCGACUCUAGAUAUAUGCCCCACUUUAAGGUAAAAAAAAAACUAGAUAUGAUACUUCUUGCUUUGUCUUAUGAAUUAAGUUAUAUUUAUUGAAAAUUGUGUUAUAAUAUUAUUUGCAGAACUGUAUUGGUGCUAUUGAUGGUGUACAUGUUCAAGCCACAAUACCUCCCGGAGAUCAAAUACCAUAUAUUGGCAGGAAAGGGACACCAACUCAAAAUGUAAUGGCCGUAUGUAAUUUUGACAUGCAAUUCAUCUUUGCAUGUGCAGGUUGGGAAGGAACUGCACAUGAUACAAGGAUAUUUUUAUCUGUUUUACGAAACGGUGCUUUAAAUUUUCCUAAGCCUCCUAAUGGUAAUGUCUCAAACUUGUGCAUAUGUUUGAAAUUUUGCAUUUGAUUAGACACUUUUUAUAGUUUCUUUUUAUAUCAUAGUAGCAUGUUUUGAACAUUACAGGAAAAUAUUAUCUUGUGAAUGCUGGGUACCCACAGAUGAGCGGCUAUUUAGGACCCUAUAAAGGUGAAAGGUAUCAUCUUCCUGAUUUUCGUAGGGGCAGAGAACCAACAGGAUCUAGAGAGGUAUUUAACCACAUACACUCUUCUCUUAGGAGUGUCAUUGAACGCACUUUUGGUGUAUGGAAAAAGAGGUGGAGCAUUUUAAGAGACAUGCCUAGUUACUCAUUUAAGAAGCAAGUAAAGAUAAUAAUCGCAACUAUGACGCUUCACAAUUAUAUAAGAAGGUAUGCCCGACGUGAUAAUCAUUUUGACAACAUGAAGGAUGACUUGGAUGAUGACACAAACUCGGAUGAAGAACAAGAAGAAUAUCAUAUUACCGAAGGACCCGAAGCACAAGAAAUAGAGACAUUGAGGAACAACAUUGCUGCAAGUUUGAUGUGUUCGUAAUUUUUUUUAUGUAUGCUUAUUUUAUUUUAUUAUUGUUUGAAGACAUUGAAGAAAAUUUUAUUUAUUUAAUAUUUGUUGUUUUUUUUUAACUUUUGGCAAUGCAACUACAAAUGUCAAAAUAAUUUGAGGGAAAAAAGAUUAGAUAUACUUGUGAGUCAUCUUUUUAACCAAAAAGUUAAUAGAAAACUAUUUUUCUCAUUACUUUAGUCUAAACUAGAAAAUGUGCCCGCGCGAUGCUGCGGGACUUAAAUGCAUCACCUUUAACUACAUGAAUAAGAUACAUUUCACCUAAAUAAAUUCAACACAAUCAUGAAUGAAGAGAGGAAUAGAUGAGUAAAUGGGGUCGGUAAGAUAUGCAACUUCGUUUUUAUAUACAUUGAACUGAACUCACAUGAAAAGACAUUGUACAAUGAACAGGACGAAACUGAAUGUUUUGGUUCCCUAAACUGAAACCCCUUGUCUCAGACACCCAACACCUCUCACCCUCAGAUAGCCCUAAACGAAGUGCCUCGUAGCAUCGAAUUGGCCUACAACACCCCCGAGCGAGAUUGAGACUACUUUUCAUAUUUUCAUUUUAAUGUACCAGCAAGGAAACGAUAGUAUAUUCCAAAAUUAGCAGUUUACAGAGAAAUAUAAAUAUUGUUUUCAAGAAAUUAAUAUGAUUGCAAAUGUAAUAGCUCCAUGCAUAGUGAGGUAGGAUAAAUGAUGGAAGACACACUGAAAUUUGAGGUCCAUAGGUUGAGAAGAGUCCAUAGCAUUGAUCCAGAUAUGGAUAGCUUGCACAGAUCUACAAUUCAAGCUCCGAAUAAAGUAUCAAUUUAUCAGCAAUUGUGACAUUCAUUAUUCCUAAAAAAGUUAUUGAUUCACAAAUAAACAAAUGAAAGUAAUCAGAAAAGAAACGCUUACCACAUGCUAGCUGAAUCCGAACUCAAAAUGACCACGAUAUUUUCCCAGCAAUGAUCACAAAGAGAUUGAUGCUUGGGACUUCUGUCCAUCCCUGAAAACAAUGGAAUAAUAUACCCAUUAAAAAACGUCACAAAAAGAUUUACAGUAACUGUCCCAACUAUUAUAAUUAUAUGGUCUUAUUGGCAUAUUCAGACUACAAAAUAAAAGCUGGCAGUUGUUUGCACUCGUAAACAAUUUCUCUUUACAAAACUAAAUAAAUUGUAAUGACCCAAGAAAUCAAAAUUUGAUUAGGCAUUAGAAACAAUGUUACCUUUUGGAGAAAAGGAUGCUCAACCAAAUGGAAGCCCAAAUUUAAAACAGCAACUGAAUGAAAAUCUGACGUUAUAAAAUCCAUAAGAAGCGUGUAAUGCGUCUAAUUUAAAAAGUCUCUCACACAUGUAAUUGCACGUAGGACGCCAGAUUCAAAAAAAAAAAAAAAACCUUGAAACCAAAGGACUGCAAAGGAUUGCUUUGUCAUAGAAAGUAAAAGAAUAAAUUGAAUCAACUGAACAUGCUUCUUGCAAACAAAGAAAGUAAAAUACGGGGGAACAAAAUCACAAAUCAACAUAGGCAUCUCUUAAGAAUUUAAAUAACCAAGAUUUUGAUGAACUGAUUGUAAGCAUAUGUGCAUAGAUGUCACUAUUUACAUAAAACAUGUAAAGGACAAUCAGUUUUGAGUUUCAAAAUAUAAAAUAUUAAAAUUUCCAUAAAAGAUAAGUAUUGGGAAACAAAGUUGGCAUCUCACCUUCCACAAUAGGUCGACAAAUCCUUUGAUUACGCUUUAGCUUCUUGUUUAACUGAAACACAAAUUCAUUGUUCAGAAUAUCAUAAUUUCAUGAAAUGGUUCACCUUUGAUUACGCUUGCUGCUUAGUGACUUGAUAAGUCGGUCACAAAGAUAACAUGUAGAAUGCAAAUAUGGAUCAGGAAAAAACAACAGCUAUAGAAUUGAUUAUAUAGAAGAAGAAUACAUACUUAUUGUGAGGUUAUCCCAGCUAUCCACUAUGACCCAAUAUAUAUAGCAAGUAAAAACUAUGGCAGCAAAGAUCUCACGUAUAUAAAUCUUGCAUAAACUUUGUUUUUGUACAAUGUCUUCUCCCUUCAAUGACAGUUUGUUUCUUAUUCAGGAAAAUAAAAUGAGCAGGUUAAUGAUACUCACAUGUGCAAAAUGCUAAUCCUAUGGUCUAAAGUUAACUGAAUUUUUUAGUGUAAAAUACCUAAUUUCACUGCAUUUCAAUUGAUCACAGUUCGUGCCUUGUUAAACUUGAUAUACCCUUAGACAUUUUGGGAACUUGACAGCUUAAAUUUUCUUUAGUUACAGAUGUGCUCAUAAAAGCAAAUUACAGCGACCCAAUAUAUACUAAAAACUUGGAGAAGGGACUCAAUUAGUUAACGAACAGGUGCCUCGCCUUUCAUGUUAAGACCAAAGAGAGAAAACCAAGCCGAACUCUUCAAAAUUCAUUGGCACACAUGCAUCAUCAGCUCAAUUGAAUGGAUAAUGCAUACUUAGAUACAACCAUUCAAACAAUUGAUGUAGAUUGACAUAAGCCUCCAAACUUCAAAAAAAUUGAAACCUUAUAAAAGCAAAACCUUUUUUCCUUCAUAUUUGAACUGUUUCGAUUACCUUAUCUCUCUAUCACUUGAUUCAUUAUUUCUAAAGGAAGUUCUAAUCACUACCAAAACAGCUUAAUAACAGUUGAUUAUCUAAAAAAAAAAAGAGGGAAAACAUGAAAUACUAACUGCACUCAAAAUCCCAAAUGUGUAACACAUGAUUCUAAUCUAAACCCUGAUUCUAAAAUUUAGAAUUCGACACAAAAAUGAAAAUUGGAAUGAUUAACAUGGAAAUGAGAGAGGGAGAAGUGUGAGGGAAUCUACACAUGAGGGCUUCGGAUCUGAGUCCAGAGCUGGAAGCGGCAGAGGUUGCGAACUUAAGAGUAUGGAAGAGGCGGGAAGGAUCCUUGUAAAAACAAUAAAAAUUAAAUAAGAAACUCGCCGGAAACUCGGAAAACCUCGUCGAAAAAACUGGACAGCAACUUACCUCGGAUUCACCUUUAACUCGUAACAAAUCUUUUCACAUUAUUCUCUAUUGCCACUUGUACUUCACUCAGUACUAAUCGAUAUAGCUGAAAGUCUGAAUCAUGAAGAAUGAGAAGUUGAAGUAUAUCAAAUGAUAAAGUUGUCAACAAUGAAGAAUGGGACAUUGACCAUGGAGACACUGCAAGAAGCAAAAGUGAGCAAAUUAAAUAAAUACCAGCAUCAACAUUUAGAAAAAAGUAAGAGCAGCAACUAUAAAUGAAGAAUGUGCAAUCAACAUUAAAAGUGUAUAAUAGGAACACGGAUCUCAUAACUAAAAGACAUUUUCUCACCAAACAAUGGAAAAUAAUUGGAGAUGCAAUUCAAUAAAAAAAGAAGUUAGCACUUGCUUAUUGCCUUCCAAAGAAGCUAAUGAAUCCAUCUGGUUGAAGAAGUGUUUAGCAUUGCCAGUAAAAACAACAAAAAUCACAUCAAAUUUCAAAUUAAUCAACUCAAUAGCAUGCGUACCUUAACAUCUAGAUGACGAAACAUUGGUUCCUCGAACGAAUCGUAAAGAUCACAAACACAAAUCAUGAAUUAGAGUUCGAAUACGCAUCUCCCGAUUUGAAACCCUAACGUAAUUCCCCACUUGGAAGAUGCAACCUUUGGGGUUCUGGCUGCUAGGGUUGAGAUGUUAAACCUUUGACUAAGAAAAUGACAUUGGGCAGCAUAGGAUACAUACUGCUCCCCCAGAUAGACCUGCAUGAAGAUUUAUCCACCAUCACAUGCGAAAAGGAAGAUGGUCAGUAUAUGUGUUUUAGUAAUCAAUCUAUAUUUGAAGCAAUGAAAAAAAAGCAUAUGACAUGAGCUAUCAUAAAUUAAAAUUAUCAACAAUCUCUUCCCAUUACGAAACAUAGAGAAACUACAAACCAUAACAAAUACAUUGAAAUACGCAAAUAUGCAGCAAAUCCCUCAAGCAAUUAAGAAAAAAAAUGCCUCUUAAAUCAGCAACCAAAUUCAAAUUAACAAAUGUCUCCAUAAAAGAAGUAAAAUGGAUGAAAAGAUACCUGGCUUUUUCAAAACAAUUCAAAUUCCACAACAUUUCAUUCAAAACAGUUCAAAAUUCAUAACCCCUCAAGCAAUUGGGGCUGUAAGUUACGUAAUCGGAUGGCUACAACCAAACGAAGAGCUUCAAUCAAUUAAAGUCAACAAAAUAUCAAUAAUUAAUCUAAAAAAAAAAAUUAAAUAAAUGAACACCAGGGGACUGAGGAAUGCUACUAAACAUCAGUAAGAACAGAAACGAAUAAUUUAAAUGCUUGAGCUUCAAUGAAAGCAUUUUACCCUUGCAAUUUUCCAAGAUAGCGGAGAGGCAAGAUGCACAUGUAUUAGUGAGAGGAUUUUCAAAGAUAUUGAGCACUUCCAAUCGAGCAGAUAGCAAAGGGCAUUCGCAAAUCUGAAGAUUGAAAUUAUUGAUCGAGACAGCCAAAUGAAUAGAGAUAUAAUCAUACAAUCCCCAAAAUCCAAAUCCAAAUCUGAAACGCCUGAUCCGUUUCUGGAAAAUGGCAGAGAAAAAUAGAAGAACUACGUUUUUAGAUGACCGGAUUGAAUUUGAGGCAGAGAGAGGGGGAGAGAAAGAGGGAGGAAGAGAAGCAGAAAAGCGAUAGAACAAAAUGGAAGACGCUUGAAGGGUCUUCCUUACCAACGACGUGAAAUCCAAUUGCCAUUUCAAGCUCCCUCAAUCACGACCUGUAGGAAAAUAUCAAACCCAAACAUAAGUUCACUGAAAUUCGAAUUCAAUAUAAUCAAACACAAACAAAAUAGCAAAAUUAAAAUAAAUAAAAAACUAAACUAAACUAUAAAUUAAAACUUUCAAUUGAAUAACCCCACAAUUUAAAUUACUAAACAGUAACAGAUUUCUCUGAGUAAUCAACUUCUCGAUUAUGGUCAUCGAACACGACAUUCUCCAAAACUGCCAAACACAUGCAACCAUAUUUGAUAAGAAUUUGAAAUAUCACUCCAAUCAUGACACAGAACAUAAACAUUUUGCGCACUGUCAUUUUUAAAGUAGAACGUUCAAUUAAAUCAUGAUGUUAAGUACCAGUCCCAAAUUUGAUAGCAUUCCAAAUAUCUGGUUCCUUGUCCAUUGACAAAUCAAUGCACUUGGCAUAGCAACCACCUUCAAUGUUUGACACACCAUUGUUGCCCCAGCAGUGCUCAUCAUCUCCAAUUAGAUACCGAUUAUGAUCCGUAGACAGAGUCGUCUUCCCAGUGCCUGCAACAAACAUCCCAGGAUCAGUUACACGAACACAAAAGAAACUGAAACACAAAAGAUUGAUGUAUCCAUCACCAAUUGAUCAUUGUACACAUAAAAUUAUCAUGAUUCAUACCUCUGCGUCGAUAUGGAAUUUUAUAAACUGGACAAAUGGAACCCAAUUUCAUCGACUUCACGGUGCAAGUGCUGUAAAAAAAUAAGCAAACACUGGCAAUAUGAUCAAGCACAUUCCAAGUAUUAAUACAUCCAAAUAAAACCUAACAUUCAUAUGCAAAUAACAAUGAAGGUAGAGAUUACUUGUAAGAGAUGAUUGCAAUUGAGUGAAUCCGCAGAACUCAGUAGACUCAAACUGCAAAACAGAUGGGGAAAAAUCAAACCCAUUAACAGAGUGAAGAAAUUUUUUAAAUCUUUAAACGAAUUCUGGACAGAAUCAUGUAAAGGGUCUGUUUUGGCUACCGAGAAACUUAGUAUACAUUUAAAUAUUAUUACAUGUUAAUACAAAAAUUUAGCUUUAUUCAGAUGGGAGAGAUCAAAGGUUGCAUCAUUCAGCUUCACACAUGGCUACAACACAAUUUCAAAAACUCUUGUCAUCUCAAAGUCACAUUCUUUAUCAAACUCCCACUCCAUAAUCGAACAGAGGUUGAUAACGGACAAAAAGAAACACAAAGUACGAAAUAUAAUCAAUAUCAUCAGUCAAAACUUACUGCAAAGGGUGAGGGGUCAACCAUGUGAUUUUUUGCCCCUUAACCUCGGCCUGCAUGGACAAACAACGGAAGAAUUCAUACCCAAAUAACACAAUAACAUAAAAUGGCAGGAAUGUAAAUAAUACAAAAUCGAGGGUCCAACACACGUUGAUAUGUCAUCGUGGUUUCCAAUUGAACCAUGAAUUCCAGAAUGUAAAUCAUACCUUGAGUAUAAGAAAACCAGAAAAGGAAAAUUAAAUCCCUCACAAAUGGUGGAAGAAAAUAUGAGAAACCUAUAUUAGUCCCAACGGUGUGAGUUUUCAUCAAAGAAGUAGACAAUCCACACGCUAAAUCACCAAUCAAACAUGAAGAUGAUCACAAAGAAGAAAUCCCUAAAACCAAUAUUUUAUUAGAGUUGAAAAUCGAAAUUAAGCCAAAACGGAACCGACACUACCCAAAUUAAGCUAAAAAUUCACUAACCCAACAUAAAGGCAAAGAAAAAUCACCUCUAGAUGACUGCCAUUGAUUCAAUGCAAAGAGAGCUCAAGCUGCUUAAUAUUGUUCUGAAAUUAGAGAGAGGGUGUGAGAGAUCAUGAGAGGACGGAGGGGCGAAUGGCGGAGUGAGAUUCAGCGCGUCUCUUCUCUGCAUAUAAAAGAUGCCGCACAAUUAUGCAACUUACUCCAUAGACUUAUAAACAUCACAAUUAUAAAUUCUGAAACUGAUAUAAAUUGAAUAGAAAUACACAAAGCAUAAACAAAUUCAGCAUAUGAACACCAAAACUUACCAAACUCAUGUGCUUGCUUGAAGCUGUUUUUGAUCAUUUUUCUACAAUCUACUGCAUAAAAAGGACCAAACUAUAACGGCAAACUAUAUAUAUAAUUUGCUAUAAUACCCAAAAAAAUUAAAUUACAUUAACAUUUGAGUGGAAGCCACGACCAAAGUGGUAAAAUUGAAGAAAACAUCAAAAUCCCAGAAAAAAAAACAAAUUCUUUCAGAAAAAAUCAAAGAAAUUUACUCAGGUAAUCAAUCAAUUAUGUACCUAAUUCCCCUGAUGUCUUGAAUAAAUAUAACACUCCAAGAUAAAUUAACUACCCAAUAUUAAUUUUUCCUGUUUCUUUCUUCUUAUUCUCGGGAAAGAAACAAACCCAAAACAAAUAAUUGAAGAAAACAUACAGAAAAUAUUGGGGAGGAGUAACAUACAAUCUGCUGAGUUCUUAUUCGCUUUGUAGAUAAGAGAUGGUGGCUUCUCAUCGAGUUCAUGUAUGUAUUGCCUGGAGUGAGAUGGUGAGCGGGCGUGAGAGAAUAGGGCAGUGAGAGAGAGUCGGGAGAGAAAAAGAGGGAAAGAAAUGGCGAUGGAAACGGACGGAAACGUAGUCGAAGCAGAGCAAUCCACGAUGAUUAACGCGUGGGCGCUCUUAAACUGUGCAAAAGCAGUGGUAAUUUUGUAAAUAAAUCGAAAUUUUCAAUUUGCGGUGAAGAGAUGAUGGUAAUUUUGUAAAUAACUCAAAAUCCACUCCAAGUUACUAUUCAUUUGAAUAGUGCAAUUGAAAAGCUUUCUUUAGACAAAAGCUAGAAAAAAUGCCCGCGCUUCGCUGCGGGUUUUGAAACUAUUAGCCAUAAUAGACGUGAAUAAUUGGCACGAAAAGAUGCAUUACAAAGGCGACACAAAUGGAGUCAUGUCCUAAAAUGAACCAGUGCAGAUGAAUAAUUUGCAAAAUCACAUUCAGUUUCAUUUCUAUAGGUCAAAAAACAAAGAAAACAUGUAUAUUAACUUGUCAUAUUUUAUAAAACUAAAAGCAUGGACAAUUCAGUGCACCUUGGUUGCACAUUUGUCAUAUCCAGCAGCUCACAUCGGCCACCCCCCACUGGAAUCCAAGGCUGAGGGAAGCCAUCUGCGGGAGUUGUCAUCUGAAGCACCACUCUUAUCUUUGCCUUUGUCUGAUUUGAUAUGUUGCUUACUAUUGCAUGGAUGCCAAGUAGCUUCAACAGCCUUCGAUGUACACAUAUCUGAAAUGCGGUCUUGUCCUACUGUUAGAAGCAAAGAUAGGAGCCCUAAUAGCAUAUUCUCAAGAGCUUCAUAGAGAGCUCUUUUGUUUCUCUUUGUCAACCACUGCAAGGAUUGCAAUUCAAAUUUAAUCAAAAUAAUUCAUUUCACAUUCAUAAUAAACCCGAAAGUGACUUGAUAAGAUGAAAUUAACCCAAUUACGUGUGAAAGGAAACCUUUCCAAUUAAAUGAAUGAAAUAUUUGAUGUGGAUCAAAACCAAAACCAAAUGAAAACAAAUAUCGACAACUGCCCAAGUUGGUGUUUGCCCCAAAGGUCUUCCUCCUCCUCCUCCUGCCAUCCUUUAAUUGAAACCCUAAUUUUCCUUACUACUAAAUAAUGCUAUUUUCGAUCUAUUUCUUUCGGUGUGUAAACUUUACUAAUUCUCGAUAAUUUUCAAUCACUUCCACUGUAAUUAAAAUAAGUACUGAGUAUAUACACACUCAUAAAAACACAAAUUCAGUUUUCCAUUCUAAAAAAUGAACGAAAGCACAUACUCCAAGUCAAUGUUCCUACUAUAUUCAUUAAUCCAACGAUGCAUCAAAUAUAAAAAUUAAAUUAUACCUCUAAUUUAUAACCUUUUGAUCUUGCUUCAUCUGCAGCUAAACCAAAAUUUGGACAAUCCCCAAUAUAAUUCCGUCAAAAUCCACAUAGCAACACCAUGUAAGAAUCAUAUUGGGUGUCUACACCCACACUUAUCAAUGUACACAUAAAUUUGAAAUCUGAAUCACUUGGGCUUCAAAGAAGGCCAAAAGUCUUUGUAUUCAAGCAUUUAAUACUCUACAGAAAUUAACUAAACACAGCCACAUUGAAUACCAAACCCACUUACUUACCAUCUUAUCCAACUCUUAUUUCGUAAAUUUUUCUGGUAAAGAAGCGUAGUUUAUCCUGAGCUCUGCAAUAGAAUAAUUCAAUUCUUCUUCAUUGCUUUUCAAUAGGAUCCCUACAAUCAAACAAACAUAAUUACUCUAGUAAAUAACUUCAAUUUAAAAUGCAAAGAUAUAACAGAAAGGAAAGUGAUUAAUUAAAAAAUAAAACUGUUAAAACAACAGACUGAUACACUUAACAUGCCAAUUUAUAUACUAUAUAACAAUACUAAAUCAAUUAAUUUAUAAAGAUUAGAAAUGGAUUACAAAAAGCAGAAAUCUUAUUUGGCAUGUAUGAAAAUGAUACACACAUUCUUAGCCAAUCAGCAUGAAAAAGGUAUAGAAAACUAAUUUACUUUGUUAACUUUGGACAACUGGAGAGAUGAAAGAACUCUUAGUUUUUACUAUAAGUAUGACAACCAUGUGAUUUCAUUGUUAAUUGGGACUGAUGUGUGUCAUUAGGAUUGCCAAAAUUAGUGAUCUUAGAGUUUGGCAGCCAAUGACCGAAUUGGACUCAAGUUUAUCAACAUUUGAUUCAACUAAACUAAAUUGGAUACGCUCAUUAGCAUAGAAAUAUGUAUACCAUAUGACAAUAUUGAAUCAAGUUAUUUGCAAAGAUUUAAAAUGCAAUGUAAAAAGGAAAAAAUUUAUUUUAUAUGUAAUAAAAUGAUUAACAAAUUUUUUAUUGAGCAGUAUAAAAAAGGUAUUAAAAACUAACCUAAUUUAUUAAGUUUGGAAAAAUUGGACAGAUAAAAGAAAGCUUUUAAUCCUUACUAUAACUAAAAUAACUAUGUUAUUUCAUUAUCAAAUAGGAUUCAUACGUGUAAUCAGGGUUAAGAAAAUCACUGAUUAAAGAAUCUGCCAGAAAUCAUCAAAUUGGACUUGAACUUACCAAUUUCUGAUUCAAAUAAACUAAGAAAAGGAGUUGGAAUCAAACUAACCUCUGUUUUCUAUAUGCAGCAAACUGCAUCUUGUUUUUGCCCUUGUUAACAACAUAUCUUCGCUCUGUACACACCAAAAAACAGUAAACACCUCAUUCAUUACUAACAGCCAUUUCAAUCAAUUAAUUAUUUAGACAAAUUUUUCAACGAUUCCGAAGCUCAGACAAAAAUUGCAUGAGAAAAUUGAGAUUAUAUGCAAUUGGAUGUCAAAGAACCUGAAAAUACCAUAUAUCCAAUAUUUAGUGCAUACACCUAAAAACUAAUCUUUAUAUAUACUUUAAAAUAAUACAGAUCAAUGUAAUCUAAAACAUUGGAAAUGCAUAUCAGUGCAAGCCAAGGUCUCAAGUUCUCAGAGUGGGGAAUUACUGAUUAGAACAGUUAAUUCUCUGCUCCUUUUUGGGUAUGAACUAAUUAGCAUAGUAGCCAUAAAAAUACGAAACAAAAGCUCAAUAAUUUAUGCAAUUUGGUUAAAUUUUAUACAAUUUCUAGCAAAACCCAAAACUCAAUAAUACAAAAGGAACCCAAUAGAUGAUUAAAGCAAUUUUAUACACAACUUAUGCAAGUCCAAAGAAACGCAUUUGAUCAAACUUACUGAAUACUGAAAAAAAAAAUUACAAUCAAAGUACGGAUUAAUAACUACCUCAACAACUAACAGAGCCAAAGCCAAACCCUAGAGCUUCGAAGGGCAGAGACGAUCACAGAGACAAGAAUAGUCCUUAUUCCUUCCCACUGCUGCUGCUGCCACUUUCUCUCUCUAAAAACCAAUUGGAAAUUGUUUAUAAAGAGACAGAGAGGAGAGGGCUAUGAUGAUUGGAUGAAAGAAGCAUGAAAAACUAAAAGACAUGUAAGCUUGAAUUCGAGUCCCAAAUUGAAAAUAUAAGGGAGGAGUGUAAGGGUGGCUUACCGAGGUCAGGAGAGGUGAGUCUCAUAGGAAAAGUCGACGAACAGUGGCAGGAGCCAGUGCACAGUGAAAGGCCUCGCCUGUGUCUCCUGAACAGAACAGAGUGAGUGAUAGUGGUUCUGUGAGAUGGAGCGAGUGGUGGUGGUGCUGUAGUCAUGUUUUGCCGGAAAAUGGAGGCUUUGGUGCGCCUCGGUGUUUACAGAGAAAAGAAAGGGGAGUCCAGGGAGCUAGUGGUUGUUUGAUGGAGUUGAGGCUCGCCGGAGUGGCGAGUUGUGAUGUGGACUCAGGCCUCUCGGCCUCUGGGUUUUACGGAGAAGGGGAAGAUGGUUUAGGGUUGAGAGAGAUGGAGGGACGGCUAGGUUUUAGAAAAGAUGAAGAAGAAUGGGGGUGAGCAGCGCUGGGGCUACAUGUUGAGGGAAAUGAAGAGAGAGCAAGAAGAAGUCGAAGGCAGUGAACCCUACGGACAAAUUUACCCUUCUAAGUUAUAAUAAUUACCCUUCCAACCCAGCCCAAAUCUGAUGGGUUCCUUGUAAAUAAGGUGAAAUCAAGUGGCAAACAAUUGACUGUAGCCAUGAACAGUAAGGAACAGUGCCAAUUGAAAAGCCUUCUUUAGACUAAAGUAAUAAGGCUUUUCAAUUGCACUAUUCAAAUGAAUAGUAACUUGGAGUGGAUUUUAAGUUAUUUACAAAAUUACCAUCAUCUCUUCAUCGCAAAUUGAAAAUUUCGAUUUUUUCACAAAUUACCACCGCUUUUGCACAGUUUAACAGCGCCCACGCGUCAGUCAUCGUGGAAUGCUCUGCUUCGACUACAUUUCCGUCCGUUUCCAUCCCCAUUUCUUUCCCUCUUUUUCUCUCCCGACUCUCUCUCACUGCCCUAUUCUCUCACUCCCGCUCACCAUCUCACUCCAAGCAAUAGAUACAUGAACUCGAUGAGAAGCCACCAUCUCUUAUCUACAAAGCGAAGAAGAACUCAGCAGAUUGUAUGUUACUCCUCCCCAAUUUUUUCUGUAUGUUUUCUUCAAUUAUUUGUUUUUGGGUUUGUUUCUUUCCCGAGAAUAAGAAGAAAGAAACAGGAAAAAUUAAUAUUGGGUAGUUAAUUUAUGUUGGACUGUUAUAUUUAUUCAAGACAUCAGGGGAAUUAGGUACAUAAUUGAUUGAUUACCUGAGUGAAUUUCUUUUAUUUUGUCUGAAAGAUUUUUUUUUUUCUGGGAUUUUGAUGUUUUCUUGAAUUUUACCACUUUGGUCGUGGCUUCCACUCAAAUGUUAAUUUAAUUUACUUUGUUUGGGUAUUAUAGCAAAUUAUAUAUAUAGUUUGCCGUUAUAGUUUGGUCCUUUUUAUGCAGUAGAUUGUAGAAAAAUGAUCAAAAAUAGCUUCAAGCAAGCACAUGAGUUUGGUAAGUUUUGGUGUUCAUACGCUGAAUUUGUUUAUGCUUUGUGUAUUGUCUAUUCAAUUUAUAUCAGUUUCAGAAUUUAUAAUUGUGAUGUUUAUAAGUCCACGGAGUAAGUUGCAUAGUUGUGCGGCAUCUUUUAUAUGCAGAGAAGAGACGUGCUGAAUCUCACUCCGCCAUUCGCCCCUCUGACCUCUCAUGAUCUCUCACACCCUCUCUCUAAUUUCAGAACAAUAUUAAGCAGCUUGAGCUCUCUUUGCAUUGAAUCAAUGGCAGUCAUCUAAGGAUGAUUUUUCUUUGCCUUUUUGUUGGAUUAGUGAAUUUUUAGCUUAAUUUGGGUAGUGUAGGUUCCGUUUUGGCUUAAUUUCGAUUUUCAACUCUAAUAAAAUAUUGGUUUUAGGGAUUUCUUCUUUGUGAUCAUCUUCAUGUUUGAUUGGUGAUUUAGCGUGUGGAUUGUCUACUUCUUUGAUGAAAACUCUCACCGUUGGGACUAAUAUAGGUUUCUCAUAUUUUUUUGCACCAUUUGUGAGGGAUUUAAUUUUCCUUUGUGGGUUUUCUUAUACUCAAGGUAUGAUUUACAUUCUGGAAUUCAUGGUUCAAUUGGAAACCACGAUGACAUAUCAACGUGUGUAGGACCCUUGAUUUUGUAUUAUUUACAUUCCUGCCAUUACCAAAAAGCAUGGGCUGCAGAGAGAGAGGGAGAUAGGCGGGGGAUGGCAGGGAGGGGAAGGGAGAGGGAGGAGUGAGGUUGCUAUAAAAAGGGGUUAUGGUUGAUUUUUUUUUCUCCUCAAAUCAAGGGUUGGUGUCGGGAUUAAGGGAUGUGUCAAAAUUGCCAAUAGAAGCCUAAAUUAAUGGGUAGUUGUCGGUGAUUGAGAGAUUGAGAGGGAGAAAAUUGGGGGAGGUUGUCACUGACCCGAUGGAGUGAGGGAUUUUGUGAGGAUUAACUAACUUAUUGACUAGGAACACAAGACAAGACAUGCUUCCGGUAAACCGCCUCCGUCGCUUUCCUCCUCUCGCCUCCGUCUACCUCCUCUCCCUUUCUUCGUCUCCCCCUCCUCCUCUCUCUCUCUCUCUAUGGAAUCGAUCGAUCUUCGAAGAGGAUAAAAAGAUCUGAAAUGGUGUGCUUCUUCUACUGUGAUUCUGUGUUUUUAAUUUUUCUGGGUUUGGCUUCUUCUUUUAUUCCACUACUAAUUUACAAAAAUAAUGAAUUUUGUACAUUUUGUUUUUAUUUUACUUUUUGUUAUAUUUCAUUGUAAUAUCAAAUAGAGUUGGUAUUUUAAAAUCUCACUGCAAUGUUUUUUGUUAUAUUGUUGGUGGGUAUCUUUAAUUAUGCCCUGAUGGAGAAAGGCAAAGAGGACAGACCUGGAUUUGGGGCAUAAAAGGGAUCUUUAGAUUUCUGUGAAAGUACUUUGUGCCUUUUUGCUAUUGGUGAUGAGUGUUCAUGAAUAUUUAUGCUUUAAUAUAGCUGUUACAGGAGCAAGUUGUUUAGUUAAAAUCCUAAGAAGAUUAGGGUAAAACAUUCCGGCUCUCUCAUUAUUGAUAGUCUGAAUUUCUGCAAUCUCUGAGAUAUAUUUGGGAUAGUUUUAUAGUGAUAUACAUCAAGGUUCAAGAAAAACUUUGCUGCACUGCACUAUAGGAGUAUCUGGUUGAUGAAAUUUUUCUGAUUUAAGCAUUUAGCUCCUCGAUUGCAUUAAAUCAGUAUUUAAAGAAGUUUUUGUCUGAGAAUGCAUUGAUAGAAUUUUUUUUGCCCAAAAAUUAACUCACAGAGCUUCCUGUGAGUUAGUCUUAGCUUUUGAUUUAAUUUUUUUAGAAUUAUUAUCAUUUUUUUUAUCUCUGCUGCUGUUUUGGAUUUUUUUUAAUGAUUUUUAUGCGAUGUUCAUCUGUGUAGGCACUCAAAUUAGUGUUUUGGAGUGCAUAUGGACCAGACACCACAAAAGAGAAAACGGAAACCAAAAUCAGAGCCAUCAAAACAAACAAAUGCUGGUAUGUCCUAAAAAAGGUUGGUUUGUGCACUUUCAAAGAAUACAUGGAAGAAGAUAAUAUUGAUCAUGGUGUAGAAUGUGAUGGUAAUGUGGUUGAAAAAGAUAAAAUGUUGCACGAAAAGAUCUCAGAGCUCAUUGACGAAAAUAUGCAGCACCAGGCUGAGUUGAUAAGGAGAAACAAGGAGAAUAGUGAAACAAUUGAGUGGCUUUUAUCCCAGGUGCAUAAGCUAACGGAUGAGAACAAAAUUUUGAAGAUUAAUCUGGGAAUCCAUAAGGAUACUACUGAUCAUACAAUUGCAAUCCAUAAGGAUGCUACUGAUUAUACAAUUACAAGGCAAAACAAGCCUCAGUUUUCAAAGUCUAAGUCCAUAGGGCCAUCUUUCCCUGGAAGGCUCACUGGAUGCCUAGAACUUGGAUCUUAAUUAGCUACUUUUCAACUUUAGUAGGUAGCGUUAUAAGUUUUCAAAUGUAUCUGUUUAUAUGCUUUCAUAAUACAUGUGAAGAUUCCGAGUCAAUUAUAACAUAUUUUAAUUUUUAAUUUUAUGAGUAUAGAAAAGGAAUUGAAUGCUUCGUUAUUUUGAUCUUGCAGCUGAAGCCAAGUCUGGAUAGAGAGAAAGAUCUCAUGGUAGGAAUCAUGGACUUGAUGAAGGUGAGGUUAACAAAGUGUGCUUUAGCACCAAGAUUGGAAUCUGGGUGUUCUGAGUUUUGUUUUGUUGUGAUUUUUCUAUAAUCUAGAUGCUGAAAUACUUGGAGUUGGAAUUAAUAAGAAUUGAUUGAACAUGGAUUUUUUAUUAGAUUGGUAUGGCUGACAUAGUUAAGAAGUAGUUUAAGAUGCAGUGAUUAGGGCAUUUCUUUAACUGAACAUAUUUGUUUUCAUGAGGUAGAUAGAAUCCUCUGUAAUUUAAUUAAUUAGAUUGAAAUUUGGGGUCUGGAUUCUUAAACUACUAUGGUGGUUAAUGUAGCUUUUUUGGUGAAUUUUUCAAGUGGGGAAAAAGAGGUGGGUGUGGGAUUUAUAUUGUUAUUCUCAGUUGGUAUAUAAAUAUUUGAGUGUGCAAGAAAUGGUUACCAUACAAAAAAUACAAGAACUGAAAUUAGAAGGGAUAAUGGCAGUUUGCAGAGGGUUGGUUCAGGGAUGGUAAAAGUUGUGUACGUGGCGAGAUUAAUGGAGGUGGUUUCGUGGUGGCGUAGUUCUCCGUGAAAAAUGGCGACGGUGGUCGCCUUGCUAUUUCUGUGCAGCGAGCACAGUAUCAAGAGAGAGAGAGAGAGAGAGGUGAGGGAAAUAGGGAGAGUAGUAGAGAGGGAGUGAGACAUGAGGGUGGUGGCAAGCUGGUGCCUUGAGGGAGUGGCGAGUGAGGUGGUGAUAGUUUCUCGAACGGGAGAUUUAUGGUGUACUAGAGAACUUGACUCCUCUCUCAGUCUGGUCUCCGGAAGAGAAAACCAAACAUAGCUAUGCAUUAGCAAAGUUUGAAAUGAGGGUUUUUAAUCUUUGGCAUGCUAUUGUCUUUAUUUGAUCAUUCUUUGAAAAAAAUUAUGAUGGACAAGUGAAAUAAACUGAAUGAAAACUUGGAGAAGAAGUUCUGAUUUUUAAUAUCUUUAAUCCGGGAUUAUUGUGAUGCCCUUUGACAAUUGAAAUGUGAAUGCAUUAUGUUGCUUAGAACACAAGUCAAUAUUUUUUAAACUGUGUUAGGUAUGAUGGAUGCUAUAGAUAGAAAAAUGUUGGCUUAAGGUUGGAUUCCAGGUAAAUAUGUGCUAUCCUGGAUGAUGGAAUUGCAUAGCAUCCUAAGUUUCUUUCUAUAUUUUCCUGAACAGAUUUACUGAAAAUGUUUUUCAAGGAUAUUCAACAAUAACUUUAAUCUUCAGACUUUCUCAUUGUUGCAGUCUCUAAUGCUUUAGUUAAUCCUAUUAGCCUAUUGUUAGAUCAAUUAAAAGAGUGUUUUAGCCUUCUGUUAGUGUUUCAUCUUAUAUACUUUCUCUCAUUGUUAGAUCAGUUGUGAUUCUGUGUGGUUCAUGUUUCCGGGUGUAAAAUUGUUCAUACAAUCUCACUUUUGCAUCUAAUUAGUGAGCCAAAAAGAAAAUUUUUAACAUUUUAAAUCCUAAUUAUCUCUAUUUCAGCCAAUGCAUAUUUUUUCCACCUAAAAGUCUUUGAUGCAUGUCUUCUUUUUUUUUUUUUUAGUAUUGAAACAUACAUUGUUCGAAAUUUGUUGAGCACUUGAAACUUUACAAGUUAAGAUUUGGAAUUUUAUGAUAUAUGAUAACUGCUUUGUAUGUUUGUUGUUGAUUAAGCACGUGGGAUACAACUCGGUCUUAGACACUUAAUAAAGGUUUAUCGUUUGAAAUUAAUGGGGCACAUGUUAUUCUCAUGAUAUUGGCUGCAAAUGCUGCAGAGUGAUUACAGAAACCAACGCAGAAAAAGCUUUAUAGGUAACUUUUACAUUUAUAGCAUUUCAGAAUUCGCAUAAAUACCAGAAAACAUCUUGAAAGACUACCAUUUCAAGUGGAUCUUUUCUUUCAUGUGGAAACCAAGCUUCCUUUUUCUUAACUCAUUCUAUUAAAACUUCAAAUUAUGUUCAAUUUGUUGAUUGGCUGUUAGCACUUAAGUUGAUCUAUUUAUUUCCAAUGUACCCUUUUUUAUGCAUGAGUGCUUUUCUGUUGCAUGUUUAGAAGAUGAAUGCAUCAAUUCUUAGGUAACCUUCUUUUUGUUCUGUGACGUAGGACAGAGUAGGACAGCGGAAAUUAGAUUGUUUAGCGGAAGUGAAACGACAUAAAACUUAAAUUGAAACAUCAUAUGCUUCUGUUUUAUAGGACUGGGGGGGGGGGGGAUAAAAACAGUAUAUUUUGUUGUUGCAUGUUUCAUUUAAUUCAAACUUUCAAAUAUACACUCUCUCUCUUCAUUAUGCACAGUAUGUUGAUGUGAACUGAAUCUAAAUAAUUUGUCUUUCUGUCGAAAAUAUUCAUAGUAUGUCCUGCAUUACAGUUUCAAAACCCACAGCAGCACGUGGGCAAUUUUAUUUUCCCUCUCCCUAUAUGUAGUUUAAUAUAAUUCAACGAGUUCAAAGAGAAUGAUCAGAAUGAAGGUUUGUAUUAGAUCCGAUGUGCUUCCUCUUUCUAUGCAUUUUGGUUCAAAUUAGGGUUUUAGGUUGAAACCCGAAACGAAAAGAGAAUAAAGUUUUCAGGAUGUUCGGAUUUUGUGUUUCGAUGAGAGGAAAAAAUGAGAAAUUUGUUAAGAAAAGUUGUGGUCGGAUUUUACAUGUUUACCGUUUUCAAGGUACGGUGUUCAUCGAUCUUAACUUUAAAUUUGUUUCUCAAUUUUUUUGUAGUUUUGGAUUUGUAAAAACCCUCGAUUGAAUCGGGUGCUGGUAUGGUCCCUUACAGGAAAAAAAAGUUUCAUUUUUUUCCCCUUAAAAUUUUAGUUUUUGUUAUUUUCUUUUUUCUUCACAAAGGAACUUAGGUGGUAGCUGUAUUACUAAUUAGCUACAGAAUUUAUAUAUUCUUAUGAGUACGGUAUGGGUGCAGGUUUGCUAUGUUGCUUUUUGGGAUGAAAUUACUUUAAAUACAAAGGAAAAUUUGAUCGAUAUUAUUGGGUUGUACGCAGAAAUCUAAGUUUUACCUAUUUUGAUAAUGCUUGGUUUUUGUGUAUUGAGUUGGAUAGACAGUUCAUAGGUUUGGUUCCAUAUUUAUUCGGAGAAGAAAAACACAAAGAGGGCAACACAAUAACCCUAGGAUGAUUAUAUAUGGAAUGAAUUAAAUCUAUUAACGAAUUAUAUUUUGGGUGGUGUUAGGGAGAAACGCCUACACUCCAAAUAUUUAUGAAUUGGAUUCAUUAUAAAAUAGGUAAAUUGUAUGCAUUACUUCUUUUGGCACUAAAUCUUUUGUUAAAUUUUAUUUUGCUGACUUUUAGUUUUUGACUUUCCUUUGGCAGGACUUUUAAUUAAGCAUGCAUCUUUGGUGUAAUAUUAUCAUAUUCUUGAGGUUUGAAUUUUUUACUCUUACUUUUGUGACCAUUAUAUGUUUGCGUAUCUCUCUUUUGGGUUAUCCAUCAAUUAAAAAUUAUUAUGUGAGGAUUUUGAUUGUUGACUUAUCAUUGGUAUAUUUCAAGUGGUUUUUGAUAUUUUGAUAGGUGUUGGAAAAAAAAGAUGAAAUUGUUUUGCGCUCAACGCAUAGUUAAUCUUAAAAUAGGGUUUAUUAAAUUGGUUUGAUGAUAUAUAGGUGGUAACAAAUUAAUGAUGUCAACUCCUACAAGGAAGAGGCUGAUGAGAGAGACUUCGAGAGGCUGCAACAAGACCAGCCUGCGAGGAUUAGUGGGGCGCCUCAGGAUAACAAUAUAAUGUUGUCGGCGAGGUUAGUUAUUUUUUAGGCUUUGCUUCUACAAACGUGAACUCUUUACAUGGAAACCGAAUUUUAUGUGAAUUUUAAUAGUUAUAUAUCAAACUCCUCUGCACUGAACUCUGUGUAUUACAACAAUUAUAAUUAGAACUUGGAUGAAAUGGGCUCCAUCCAGCAAAACUCCUGCCCUAACAAUAAUAAUUAGAACCAAAUUUGAUAAUUUCUCAUAGUUUAGGCCAUUUGGCCAAGUCAGAAUGAGAAACAUAGAUGUUUUCUUUAUCUUAUGCUAUUUGUUUGGCUGUAAAUCGUAUGGAGUAAAUCUCAUGGUGUCAUUCUAAAUAAACUGGAAAUAUGUCUCAUGCAAAAUUAAUGUUGAUGUUUAUCAAUGGAAAUAAGUUUUGAAGUGAUUACCUUUCUUUAUACAAGUUCUCUUCACAAUGAAACCUAUAUUAUAGUGUCACUUUUACUUGCUUUCGCACAAAAGGGGUGUCUGGACAUGUAAUUGGCGUGUCAUUACUCACUAAAUCUUUUUUAUCCUUAUCUUCUAUAUUAAUAUCACCAUUUUUUUGGGUGCUCAUUGAGUGGUUUGGCAGGUAAUAGAUAAAGGUUUUAAUGCAUUCAUUUAAUGUUAUUACAGAUCUGCUAAAUUCUUCAAGAAGUCCGGUUUACAGAACUGAAGCUGUUUAAGCACAAGGUGUCCCAGUUUAUAGAUGAGGUAUUAUAAAAUUUAAAAAGCGUCAAUAUUAUCAUUACUGAUCCUUAACAUUUAACUAUCAAAGCUUGAGUUUAUAAUAAUUAAUUCUUCACUGAUGAUAUGUUGUGAUGGGGUUUAGUAAUUUUCAGUAUUCUUCAAUUCUUUUAAUCUGCAAAAUCAAAUAGCCCAUGGAAUUUAUGGCAUACAAUUAGUUUCCUUUCAGUUGGGUUGAAAUGAUAUUGAUUGUGUUGUUAUGAAGCUCCUUUUUAUAGUUAGGUUGAAAAUCAUAUUGAUAGAUUCUUUAUUUGGUUGGUCCUAUCUGUAACAAAUGGGAUUGUUUUGUUUGAUGUUUGAAUCAAAAUUUGAUCUUUUUUUGUGUGAAAUUAUGAUGGAAUCGCAAAUUUGUGAGGUAUAUCUUAGAUUAUUGGUUGCAUAGUCACCUUCCCACAACUAUCACAUUGUCUCUUGACUAGAUGAAUUUUUAUAAUUUCUAGGAUCUACGGUUGCAAUGCUUUUGAUGCAUGCAAUCAGGAGGAUGCUACUACUCUUAUGGAGCUUCUUUGGCAUGGUAAGUUGAAGUUGCAUAGCAUUUUUUUUUCGUUCACGAAAUUCGUUAUCUUGCUAUCCUGGCAAUUAGCAGUGUCUGACAACUGGUGAAGUAUAUGAAUAUAUGUGGAAGUUUGAAUUAUACAAAUGAAAGUGAACUUUUAACAACUCUAACUUAGAAUUUUUAUUAAUUUCUUUCAUUUGUGUUCGACUAUUUUACUUUUUUGGUAUAUAAGUACAACUAUAGAUCGAAAACCACAUAAAUUACCUAACAGCCAAGGAAUUGUUUGUGGUAGAACAUAACAUGAUGUAAAGCUCAAAUUUUGGGCACUUAAAUAUAUGUUUUUUUUUUUUCAAUUACAAUCAGUCAGCAUGAAAGUUCAAUUGGAUUUGUUCUGGUCUCCAAAAAUUUUUCUUUGUUUGGUUACCGAUUAAUUUAUGUGGUGAGAGUUUAGUUUUUGCUUUUCUGCCUAUGUAUAUAUGAUUUGAAAUGGACAAUUCAAUUUUCUAUAUAUAAAUUUGUAGUCGAAGAGUUCGAAGGAGAGGUGAAUUAGAAACAAUGGGGGGAAGAGUGAUGGAGUUGAGGAGUUGAGAGUUAAUGAGGUAUACUUGAAUUUCUGUAUGAUGUCCUUGGUAUUGGGAGAUCAUUGAGACUAACUAUCUGGUUGAUUAAUCACGAUGUCCUUGGUAUUGGGAGAUCAUUGAGACUAACUAUCUGGUUGAUUAAUCACUAAUUUGAACUAUUUGUGCUUGGAAAAUUAGCUACUUGAACAAGUACUGAACGCUUUCUAUGUUUUCUCUUAUUAACUGCUGAAAUAGGUGCCUGCCCUAUAGGACACAUAUUUUGCCUUCUUAACUACAAGGGAAAAAUAUGUGUGAAUUGCAUGUUGCUUAUGUUUCUUAUGGAAACAGAACUUUUUUUGGCAACCAUGUCUUUGUGAUCAAGAAUGUUCAGUUUCUUCCUACUAAUUGUGCAAUGUCUUUACAUGUCAACUUAGUGGAAUGUAUAUAAAAGUCAAACUACUUAUCUUAUCGAUCUCAUUCACUCAUGUGUCCCUCUGUUCAUUCAUGAUUGUGUUGAAUUUUUUCAGGUAAAAUGUGUCUUAUUCAUGCAGUUACGCCUGAAAUAGUGGUUCCCACUGCAACACGUGGGCUUAUUUUCUAGUUAUGUCUAUUUUUGUCAUUAUACAAAAUUUCCAAAAUUUUACAUUAGUAUUUACCAAACGCUUUUAUACUACUUUUCAUACUUACAGCAGUUUUAAAAAUACAGUUUACCAAACGUUCAGCUGCUUUAUUUUACAGCUGAUUAUUCUUAAAGCACAACUGUUGACCCUAAAAACUACAAAGCCUACGUGGCGCGCAGGCCGAGUAAUUAAUGAGCUAACUACGUCCUUCGGUGAAUGCGGGGCGUGCCAACUCGUCGGCCGAGCUCGGCCGAGGAGUAAAUUUGUUGAUGUUGCGUUGGGUCGCGCUACUGACUUCUGCGUCUUGCCAUUGCGGCCGAGAAAGGAACACGUCUCGGCCUCUUGGGCUCUCGAACCUGAAGACAAGGUUACUAUUCUUACGAAGUUCAAAAUCAAAUUCGGCUUUCAAUGUGCCGAAUGUAAUAACUGUAACACCUCACUUCGCCGAGAAGGCUGAUGAGAUGACCUCGACCAAUAAGGAUUUAGAAACCCUUCUCGACCGAGACUUGGAUAGGUAAUCAAUCGUUCUCGCCGCAGUGCUGUUGAUGCCAACGGAAGGUACUGCGAGACCGACUGACUCUACAGUGACAGAGCUAUCUAUGCCGACUUAAGAUAUCACCGGUUGCUUCCACAGUGCUGUUGAUGCCAACGGAAGAUGUGUCAGUGAAAAAGGAAAAAGAAAAAUCACAAGUUGUGAGAGUUUGCGCAGGGCAAUUUUGUAUUGAUUUUGUGGGUCUCGUUCCGUUGCCACUGCCUCUCUAUUUAUAGAGCUAACUUAGCAUAAAACCCGGCCGUGACCAUCAAUCACCACCACAAAUAAUAAUCGUUACGCGAGGAUGAUUAUCCAAUGAGAAUCGUAGCACUCAAAUCUCUUUGGUGCUAACGCAUUUCAGCCAAAACCACAUAACAAAUCAUGGCAUGCCAAUUCCGUCUUUUGCUAAAGAUAAGCAUUGUCGUUCAAAUCCUAGUCCCAAAGCCCUGGCAUAUCAAGCUUUAUCCAUAGGAUAUUCACUUCACCUAUUUGGCAACCUUGAAUUUGCUAAUAAUUAUCCCAUGCAUGCAUCACAUUAGCUUACGUAAUUAAUCUUUCAAGUUGGACUCCACCUUGAUCACCAACUGAUGCCACCACGUGCUAGGACUCUUCUCAUAAUGCAUGAUGCUUAAUCCCCGCGUCGAAUGAUAAGAAUCCCACAUUAAAUCGAACUGUUCUGCUUGCUUCGGUAUAGUUUGCGUCACAUUUAUCUUGUAUAAAAAGUGUCAAGAUAAUUCAUUAUUAAAAGAUCAUUAUUAUGAUUAAAAAUCAUAAUAUUAUCCCCUAACAACAAUAAAAUUAUCUUAACUUUCCUAUCCGACGGUGUGGAGCAAUGCUCACUCAACGGCCUUGAUCGCACGGGCCGAUGAUGUAAAUUGAGGUCCAAACAACAACAGAAGCAGUUUUAAAAAUAAGAACAGCAAUCCCAAACUGGCCCUUAGUCGAGGCGAGUCCUCCUUUGUCCCAUUGAACUUAGUCCUGCCAGUGAACAAACACGGAUUACACUACCUUUUAACUUAAGCUAGUCCAGUGAGAGCUAAAAAGGCAAACAAACAUCCCCUUAAUCGUUUCUGUACAGAGACUGCUAAAGAAACAGCAUGAUCAAAAUCAAAGAAUCAUGAGGCGGCCCCAGCAAGCCCCUCAGCGGCUCUACGUCCCUCCGUCGUCGCGCGACGGAAACAGCCACGACAACUACGAAGACACCGACCUCGACAACAUCGAUUACGACGACAACGAUGGUUCCAAGGACCCCGGGAGUGACGACAACAACCACGGCAACGCUGGCAGCGGUGAUGAAGAAGUCGAUCCUCUGGAUGCUUUCAUGGAGGGGAUUCAUGCGGAGGUGAGGUCAGCUCCGCCGCCGAAGCUGAAAGUGAAGGCCGAGAAGUACAGGGACGAUGAGGAGGAGGAUCAUAUGGAGAGGUUUCUGAGGGCUAAAAGGGACGUGGUGCUCACGCUGGCAUCAGAUGCUUUACACACCAGAUAUGACUCCGAUGAAGAGGUAUAUGCGACCGCCAAGGCCGUCGAUGCCGGGUUGUUGGAGUACGAUUCAGAUGAUAAUCCCAUUGUUCUGGACAAGAGGAAGAUCGAGCCGAUUUCAGCUCUCGAUCAUAGUUCAAUCGACUACGAGCCGUUUAAUAAGGAUUUUUACGAGGAGAAAGAGUCGAUUUGAGGUAAAUUCCAACCGAACUGAGAAUUUGGUUUCUUUCUUUUUUUCUUUCCAUUCACAUUUGUUUUUUAAAUUUUUGUGUGAAUUUAGUCGAAAUGCGUAGCAAAGUAUUUAAAUUUAAGUGGGAGAGAAUAUUGACCGGUAGAAGUUCUCAAGGAGAGAUUUGAAAUGGAAGACUAGAGUUAACUGGUGUUUUGGUUUCCUUGUUUAGGGAUGAGUGAGGAGGAUGUUUUUUAGUACAAGAAGAGCUUGGCCAUCCGUACGUCGGGGUUUGAUGUACCGAGGCCAGUUAAGACAUUUGAAGAUUGUGGAUUUUCUUCACAACUCAUGGCUGCCAUAAAAAAACAAGACUACCAAAAGCCGACACCAACACAAUGCGUAGCUCUACCCAUAGUUCUUUCCCGGAGAGAUAUAAUUGGUAUUGCGAAAACUGGUUCUGGAAAGACUGCCACUCUUGUCCUUCCAAUGAUUGUCCACAUUAUGGAUCAGCCAGAGCUUCAAAAAGAAGAAGGUCCAAUUGGAGUGAUAUGCGCUCCUACUAGAGAGCUGGCGCACCAAAUAUACUUAAGAGUCCAAAAAAAUUGCAAAAUCACAUGGGAUACGUAUCUCUGCUGUAUAUGGUGGAAUGUCUUAAGCUUGAUCAGUUCAAAGAACUUAAGGCAGGAUGUGAAAUAGUUUUUGCUACUCCUGGGAGAUUGAUCGACAUGCUUAAAAUGAAGGCACUGACAAUGCUUAGGGCAACUUACCUAGUACUUGAUGAGGCUGAUCAGAUGUUUGACCUUGGGUUUGAGCCUCAAAUUAGAUCUAUUGUUGGUCAGAUUCGGCCAGACCGACAGACAUUGCUCUUUUCUGCGACAAUGCUCCGUAAAGUUGAAAAAUUGGCUAGGGAGAUUCUCUCAGAUCCUAUAAGAGUUACAGUGGGUGAGGUGGGAAUGGCCAAUGAGGAUAUCACUCAGGUUGUUCAUGUAAUUCCUUCUGAUGAUGAGAAGCUGCCCUGGCUUUUUGAGAAGUUACCAGGAAUGAUUGAUGAGGGUGAUGUUUUAGUAUUUGCUUCAAAAAAAGCUGCAGUGGAUGAGAUCGAGUCACAGCUUGCUCAGAAAGGUUUUUAAGUCACAACUCUGCAUGGUGACAAGGACCAAGCAUCUCGGAUGGAUAUUUUGCAAAAAUUUAAAUCUGGCAUUUACCAUGUUCUUGUUGCAACUGAUGUUGCUGCUCGUGGUCUUGACAUCAAGUCAAUUAAGUCAGUUGUGAACUUUGAUAUUGCAAAAGACAUGGACAUGCACAUCCAUUGAAUUGGUAGAACAGGUCGGGCUGGUGAUAAGGAUGGCACUGCGUACACUCUUAUUACACAGAAAGAGGCACGUUUUGCUGGUGAGUUGGUUAAUAGCUUGGUUGCUGCUGGUCAGAUUGUCUCCACGGAGCUCAUGGACCUUGCGAUGAAGGUAAUUUUGCAUUACUAUUAACAUUUUUUUUUUGUGGUUUAUAUAGCGAGUUUAUACAUGCAUCCAACUACUUGCCUUUUUGUUUUAGAGAUGGUGGUUAUAACCUUAGUUUGUAAUCCUAUAAUGCAUUUAAGGCGAAUACAAGUUAUUAAUAUGUUCUCUGGUAAAACGUGCUCUUUUUAAUGCAAUAUGGAUUCUGGACAAUUACACCUACUGGUGUUUGUCUCACAAAUAAACUACGUUAUCUUCACUCUACUAUAUAGGUGCAUAGGUUGCUUCUGAUUUAGAGUGCGCUUUCGAGAGAGAUGGAUUUGAUGACCAUUUGGUCUUCAAGGCCUUAUUUUGGAAAGCUUUAGUAUGUCCUUGGAAUUACAGGGAUCUUGAGAUCGUUGACUUCAUAACGUCAAGAUAGUCAAUUUCAGGAAAUGUGCUUAGUUUAGGGAGAGAGUAAUUAGACAGUCUUUAGUAGUCCCAUCUUUACUUCAUACCAUGCUCUGCUUAGAAAAGGGGUUGUUGGGGGUGUAUGUUGGCUUGUUGGGUUGUGGAUUGAAGCAUAGAGAUGACUUGAAGAUGAAGCUCAGUCUGGGGACGUAAUAACUUUUGUGUAUUAUUAAGUACUCGCUUGCAUUCUGGGCUACCAAUACAUCGGUUGAGGCCAACCAAUUUGCAUUUAAGAACUAAGAGAAAAAUCGCAUUUUAAGUACUAAAUCUUAAUUACCACAUGGACCCUUAGUAAAUUGUCACUUAUUUUCCCUUGUGCCAAUAUAUCUCAUAGACAUAAAUGCACAGCUUAUCAUGAUAGGUGGCUGCACCUGCAUUAGUUUUAGAAGUUUUACACUAUGAGAGCCACUCAUGCAUCAUUUCUUCAGUCUUGUGACUUUUAAUUCUUGCCUUGCUGCUUGUAGCUUUGUAUUUUAUAUCCAUCAUAAAUACACUGGUUUCCAUCUCCUACAUGGAUGUGCAGUUAUUUUGGGUGCACCUUGUCUGUGGAACUUUUGUUGCUUUCCCUUACUAUGUUUCUUGUUUGAUAGCUUUAGAUGUUAUGUUAGAUUUCAGAUUUUACAUUCUCUAUUUUAAUGGGAUUUACCUUGUUUAUUAUCAGGAUGUUAGAUUCAUAUCAAAAUGUGAUUCAAGAAAAGGAGUUAUAAACUUUAAUCAUAUUAAAAUUUCAAUUUUCUUAAGGUUCUUUUGCAAUUUCAUAUUAAAUAAGCCUUUUUCUACAAUUCAAAUGAUGAUAUUAUAUGGAUUCUGCAGGUGGAAAGAAAGGUAGAGGGAGGGGCGGCGGUGGUCGAGGUGUGCGUGGGGUGGAUUUUGGUCUGGGUAUUGGAUAUAAUACGGAGUCCAAUAGUUCUUCAUCGAAUACUGUUCCUAGUCGAUCUGUUGCAGUAACUCCUCAGAGGACAGGAAUGAUGUCUCAGUUCAAGACUAAAUUUGUUGCCGCUUCAUCUAACUCUCCAAGUCAAGGUUCAGCUAACAGCUCUAGUGUGCCCAACAGACAGGCAUUACGAGGAUUUGUAUCCGGUGGUUCAAUAGGUGGUGAUGUAUAUAGAACUCAGGCAACCAGUACAAUUACUCCUGCUCCUGCUCCAACAUCAAUGGUAAAUAAAACUGCUACUCCGAACACUGGACAAAAUUCAAGUCAGAAACCCUCCGAAAGGUUAAUUAAACUGAUGCUUGGUUAGAAUUUUUUAUGUCUUUACUUAUUUGAUUGGUGUUGAGCAGUUUCAUUUGUGCCGAUUGCAGUUCUAGAGAUAAACCCAGAGAAAGGCGGAGGCGCUCCGUUUGGGACUGUUAACCGUACAGUUGAACUACACCACUCUCGCAUAAUGAAUUACAAGUUUUACUUUUGUUGUAGGUCAAGUCCUGAUAUUCCUAUAUUAUUGUUGAUCUUUGUCACUUUCUUUGUCGCUCUGUUUAUAAGUUAAAAGAAACAGAAGAUUUUGUAAACUCAGAUCGACUUGUUGCACAAAUAGUGGAUGAUUUAAAACAUAGACUGUUCGUAUCAUUAAAAUACGUUAUGAAGUAGAUUCUACAAAAAGUUGUGCCGUGUAAAAAAAAUUGUGAUGUUUCACAUGUGCUCCGUAUGUUAUUUAUAUUAAUCAUUCUGAAUUACAUCAUAACUCAACGACUUGGUAUAUAAUACAAUAAGGCCUUGUUGGAUGUCAAUGAUUUGAUUGGUUAUGACUGGAUUAGAUUGGCUUAGUUUGGAAAAUUCACUAGAUUCAGUGAAUGUUGAAAGAAAAUAUGGAUUGCUAUUUUGUUCAAGUGAAGAUGGAAGAGAAAAAGAAUAAGACAAGUAUAACAAAUCAAAUAUUGACGGAGCAUGCAUAGGUUUUUAAUUACAACUAUUCGUCAAUUGGUGCUUAUAAUUUUUGGUUUUAAAUGCUAUUAUCUCUUAAAUAAAAUAAUUAUGUUGCUUUAGUCUCCUCAUCGUAUUAUACGUGUCGAAUUCGUGUGAAGUCUGGUGGGACAAGAGAGAGAUAAGGAGGUUGACUUUGAUCAAUUGACCUCCUUUCCAUAGCCAUUUUUCUUUACCUUCAUCCCCUUACACAAAGUCCAUUCUUAAGAUCUCUAGUUCUCUCUCAAUGGCUGCUAAAAGUUCCCGAGAUUCUUCUUCGUCCUCUUACCAGUGUUCCUAUCAUGCCUUCUUGAGUUUCAGAGGCCAGGACACGCGCAGGGGCUUUACUGAUCACCUCUAUAGAGCUUUGGAGCUAGCAGGAAUCCACACCUUUAGAGACGAUGAUGAAAUCAAGAGAGGGGAGAAUAUUGAGUCGGAGUUAGAGAAGGCGAUAAAGGAGUCACAAGUAUCCAUAAUUGUCUUCUCCAAGGACUACGCUUCCUCAAGGUGGUGUUUGAACGAACUUCUGAAGGUCGUGGAACGUAGAAAUACUGAUCGUAGACAUGUGGUUCUGCCAGUUUUCUAUGAUGUGGAUCCAUCCGAUGUCAGGAAGCAGAGUGGUACUUUUGCUGAAGCAUUUGCCAGACACGAGGAGCGAUUCAGUACGGAGGAGAUGGACAAGGUGGAGCUGUGGAGAAGAGCUCUUAGACAUGUUGCAAGUUUGGGAGGCAUGGUUUUAGGAGAUCGGUAAUUUCUAUUCUCAUUAUGUUCUCACGCUAAUUGAAAGUGUCUUUUAAAUUAAGUAAAAUUGUAGAUGGCAGUGAAACUUGAAGUUGUUCGCCUAUAUAUACUGCAACUUUGAUUUAUAUGUUCCUAUCGAUUCAAAUGAAUUACAGGUAUGAGGGGCAGUUCAUCCAAGAUAUUGUUGGAGAGAUUAGAAAUAAAGUGGAUCACGUAGCUUUAGACGUCGCUCCCUUUGCAGUUGGAAUGGAUGCUCGUGUGAGACGCCUAAACAUGUGGUUACAAGAUGGAUCAAAUGAUGUUGGUUUAGCUGUCAUCUGUGGGAUGGGUGGAAUUGGCAAGAGCACCAUCGCGAAAGCCGCUUAUAACCGCAACUUUGAUAGAUUUCAAGGUAGCAGCUUUCUUGCAGAUAUACGAGAAUCUUCAGAACAACCCAAUGGUUUUGCUCUCUUGCAAAGAAAACUUCUUUCAGAUAUCCAAAACGGGAAAGCAAAGAAAGUAUACAAUAUGGAUGAAGGAACAAUCAGGAUCAAACAAGCCGUAGGUUAUAAAAAAGUUCUUAUUGUUCUUGAUGAUGUGAGCAACCGGGAUCAACUCAAUGCAAUUCUUGGAAUGCGAGAGUGGCUUCAUUCAGGAAGUAAAAUUAUCAUAACAACUCGACAUGAACAUUUGUUAAAUGCUCACGAUGUUUUUGAAAAGUUUAUGGUUCAAGAACUGAAUGAGUACGAAUCACUUGAGCUUUUCAGUUGGCAUGCCUUCAGACAAUCCCAUCCGGAAGAAGGUUACAAGGAGCUUUCAAGACAUGUGGUGCAGCACUGUGGAGGGCUUCCUGUAGCUCUUCAAGUUCUGGGAUCUUCUCUAUCUGGAAAAAGUGUAGAAGUAUGGCAAAGUGCAUUGCAGAAGUUAGACGUGAUCCCUAAUGACAAAAUUCAAAAAGUUCUGAGGAUAAGUUUUGAUUCUUUACAGGAUGAUCAUGACAAAAAUUUAUUCCUUCAUAUAGCCAGUUUCUUCACAGGAAAGACGAUGGAUUAUACAAGUACAAUGUUGGACAGCUUAAAGUUUUACACAAGGAUUGGGAUUGAAAAUCUAGUUGACAGAUGCCUAGUGAAAAUUCAAGGCUCGAACAGGUUGUUGGUCAUGCAUCAAUUGGUGAGAAACAUGGCAAUGGAAAUUAUUUGUGAAGAAUCACCUGAUGACCCUGGAAAACGUAGUAGAGUGUUGCAGAAAGAUGCCUCUAAUAUUUUGAGAAAAUUAAGUGUAAGAACUAUGUUUUCAUGUAUAUGUAUUUUUAGUUAUGAUUUGUUGUCCAGUACUAGUUAUAUACUUAUUCAAUGCUCUGAUUUGUUAGCAGGGUACGGAAAAUAUUAAGGGCCUCAUGCUUAACCUUGCUAGCAAAAUAACGUUUGUUGGAUGUCAUAAAAAACGAUGCCAUGAUGAAGAUUAUGAUGGAAAUUGUUCAAGACGACGUCGUCUUGGUUUCUUCUCUUGGAAGCCAGUUAGCUUUCCGUCCACAAACUCAGCUUCUGCAUCAAAUGAGAUAGAUUUCAAAUCUGAGGCGUUUAGAAGGAUGCACAAUCUUGAAAUUCUCAUGCUCAACAACGUCAACGUCAGGGGAAGCUACGAAGAAUUUCCAAAAAGUUUAAUAUGUUUAUCUUGGAGAGGAUUCCACUUAAAAUCAGUACCAGAAAAUUUUUAUUUGGAAAACCUGGUUGUUCUUGACAUGCGAAAUAGUAGCCUACAACAUGUUUGGAAUGGGAUCAGGGUACGUAACUCUCUCUCUCUCUCUCUCUCUCACUCACUCUCACACACACUUUCUCUCACACAUGUCCAUUAUAUCUUCUUAGAAAUUGAUUAAUACUUCUUAUUGAAAACAGUUCUUUCCGAGGCUGAAGAUUCUUAAUCUCAGUCAUUCGCAUGGCCUUAGGACAACCCCUGACUUCUCAGGACUCCCUAACCUUGAGAGAUUGAUUCUUAAACAUUGCAUAAAUUUGGUUGAGGUUGAUGAGUCCAUCGGAUACCUAGAGAAACUUGUUGUUUUGAAUCUAGAAGGCUGCAAAAAUCUCAUGAAGCUUCCAAAAUUGAGAUCUAUUCAGGAUCUUAUUCUUUCUGGUUGCUCAAAGCUUGUGCUUGGUGCCAAUACGACUGCCACAACUGGUCACUUACAAUCUACAGCUUGUGAAUUGAAGAAACUCAAUCUGCUAUCAGCUAAAUCAUGGUAUUCAAUCUGGUCGCGGGUGUCCCCAAGAAAAAAUAUUGAACCAAGCAGUUUCUCAUUGGCAAGUUUACCACAUUCCUUGACAAGUUUAAGUCUGGAUAGCUGCAAUCUAUCAGAGAUUCCGAGUGCCCUUACUAUGCUGUCUUCGUUAGAGUACUUGGAUCUGAAUAAGAAUCCAAUUACAAGCCUACCAGAGAGCAUGAACAAUCUUGUUAAGCUUCACACUCUUGCAGUAGAUGGUUGCAGAAACCUCACAAUGCUUCCAGAGCUCCCACAUAGUUUGAAACAAUUGAAUGGUAGAGGUUGCACAUCAUUGAAAAGAAUAACAAAUUUACCGAACUUGCACAUAUUACCGGCCACACAUCCCUUCGGCAUGCAAAAGGACAUAGAUUUAAAGUAUUACAACAUAUUAUUGGACUCAAAUUUAUGGUAUUGUGGGAAACUAGUUGAUGUUGUAAGCUUGUUUAAUACACUACCAUUGAGCAGCUUUGACAUAAAACUCCUCAAAGAUAUCGAUCUAUUCGAUUUGAAACCCAACGGUGGCGUUGAGGUCCAAAGGAACAGCGAUUGUGCAAGUUUUGGCAAGCCCAGGCGCUCCAAGGUUCUUCUCUCUCUCUCUCACUGCUAUGUACAAGUGCUUAUAAUAUGAUCUAUGGCGUAAACAAUUAGAUUGUAAUCACAUCACCAUGAAACUGCAGGGAACUUUUGAAUGCGGCAUAUUUAGCAUAUUUGUCCACGAGAGCAAGAUUCCAGAUCGGUUCAAUUACAGGAGCAUGGGUAACAGUGUGUUCUCUAUUAUUGUUCCUUCACAGCCUAAUAUCAAGAUCGUAGGUUUAAAUGCAUGUAUAUUGUAUGCCCGGCAAUCGGAUCGAAGCCCUGAGAUUGCACUUGGAAACUAUCAUUUCUAUUCGCUUGAACUUAGGAAUGAGACAAAGGGCCUUAAGUGGCGUUUACCUAUGUUCAAUGAGGUUGAAUGGAGGGUGAUGAACGAAGAUAUGUUAUGGCUAAGCCAUUGGAUUAUGGGGAACGAUGAAUUGGAAUGCGGGGAACAAGUGCGUUUUGAAAUAAUCGGAGUGCAAGACGGUUUCGUCACAAAGGAGAUUGGAGUCCAGUUUGUGUACGAGCAGCAAAAUAAGGAUAAGGAGGAUGUCCCAUCAAGUAGUGAAGAUCCAAUGAUCCUACCUGACAGAUCGUUUCGGGUCUGGAGCAAAGUAUCGCCUUGGCACUGGAGCGUAGGUUUCGCUGGAAGGGGUGGCCCUAUUGGGAGAGAGACCGGGGUGGAAUACAUCCAUAACAAUGAGAAGAAAGUUAUUUCAACUGUCAUGUGCGCGGCUCAAUACAUUCUCUGUAACCAUGAAGUGAUCGAUCUUGAGAAUGAAUCCCGCAUGACCCCGUAGUAACAACGAGUGCUCUAAACUAUUACCCAGUUUAAUUCAAAUUGAUGGUGAUGAUGCACAAAUCACUAAAUUCAAAUGUGUAUUGGUUGUUAUGCUUCGUUUCUAUCUAUUUUCAAUUUUUCCCUAAAAAAUUGUUUUCAAUAAUUUAAUAUACAAAAUUUCAUACCAAACAAAUUCUUGCCUGUAUAAAGUAUGAAUUUAAAACCUGUUUUUAAGAAAAAUAAAGUUUCAGACCCCAACUAGAAAAUAAGCCCACGAGUUGUGGCGGGAACUAACUGUUUCAGGCGUAACUGCGUGAAUAAGACACAUUUCACAUGUAACUGAAUAAAUAAGACACAAAGUGCAGGAAGUAAAGCUCAUAUUUAGCAGUGUUAUUUUAACAACAAUUGUUCAAGUGGUGGAUUGCCCCCGGUGGGUUGGGCAUUUCUCUUAGUCCUACUGCAUUCCGGGUUCAAAGUUCCAACCAUCCCCCGUACCAGUUUAAGCACACCAAAGACCAAAUUUAGCAUGUUCUUUCGUCAUCCACCCAACCCCAGCAGAUAUACAAAAUUCAAAUAGAACUUGGCAAAUUCAUCCUCUUAAAAUACAAAACGAAAAUAAUUUAUGAUCACUGACCUCUGAGAAUCGAAUGAUAUUCGGAUUCUUCAAUGAUCUGUGGUUCUUGAUUUCCCCUUGAACAUGUUCAUCCAUCUGCAUCACCAAAAAAAAAAGUAUAUUUAAAAAAAAAUACAAAAUGAAAAUAGUUUAUGAUCACUAACCUCUUUGGAUCGAAUGAUAUUCGGAUGGUCCAGUGAUCUAUAGUUCAUGAUUUCCCUUUGAACAUGUUCAUCUAUCUGCAUCACCAAAAAAAUAAUAAAUAUUUAAAAAAAAAUACAAAAUUUAAAGGAUAAGAAUUGCGAAGAUUCUUAGGUCUUAGUUCGAAAUGUAAUAGCUCAUCUCACCUCCAUAUAUUACCAAAUCUUAGUCUAUAUGAUUUUGCCAGAGCCACCGAAUGUUGAAUAUAUAUCUGUUGAAUGUUCUACUACCAUCAACAUUAUAAAGGUUUCUAAUCGAAUCAUAUAUUUAAAAUCCAAGCAUGAAAGUUUUACAAAGAUAAAUAAACAAAUGUAAAUAACUAAUUAGGCAAUACACAGCAGAGAGGGGAGAGAGAGAGAGAGAGAGAGAGCAAUUGAAGGGAAUGCAUAGUUAUCUCUAUCUUCGGAAAAAAGAAAAGAAAAAAAGAGAGCAGUUGAAGGAGUGAGAAGCAAAGCAGCAUACCAAGUGGAGGGUAAGCAAUUAAGCAUAGUCAUCUCACGUACGGAUUGCCUGAGAACUGAUCUUUGCUUCUCUUCCUUAUGAUCCUCUUAAAUGCAAUUCUACACAUUUCUAAACCAAAAUUGCAAAGCAGAAUUCAAAGAAAUUUAAAGAAAUCUAGUAAAGAUUCAAACUUUUUUAUUAUCCAAAAGAUGUACAUAACCCCAUGUAACAAAAACAAAUUUAUGACACAAAAGAAAUUAUCUUUAGCCAACAAAAGCAAAAAAGAGAAAGAGAGAGAUUUUGCUUUUUGCACUAUGCAGAAUGUGCAGAGAAUCAAAAUAUCAUAACCCAUUUAACAACAUGAUAUUUUAGGCAAAAAGGCAUCACCUUUAGACCCCAAAUGAAAGAAUUUGAGAGAGAGCGCAUACGUGGUUGCCAAGAAGAGGAAGAGAGCAAUUCUAUUUCCUGUAAAAAUGAAGAAACAGAGCAUUAACAAACACACAUGCACAAAUCUCAAAAGGAAAUUGGUAAGAAAUAAUCGUAAUUGAGAAAAUAAUCAAAAAACUAGAGAGCACACAACUGGAGUCUAAUUCUACAGAACCCACGAGUCGACAAACAAAUAUCCAAAAUUAACAGAUUACAGUAACAACAUUCCAACAAAAGUAAGAAGACCAGAAAAAUUAUCUAUUCUAAAGUACAUUAGUUCCAUCAUGCAUAAAUCAAGGGAGUCACGGAAGGCCAGUAUCUUAAGGUAAUCCAACAUGUUAAAGCAUCCAAACAGAGACUCAGAAUUACAAAACGCAUGAAAAUUCACAUUCCAACGUGUUAUGGAAUCACCAAUUUCAGAUCAACCAAAAUCAAAUAAAUUUAUAUCAGUACGCAUCAAACCCACCAAACCCAAAAUCAAAAGAAGGUGAUCAAAUGUUUGAUUUUGCUAAAUAUUACAAAAUAAAAUAAAUAAGAAUAUGUACAAAUCAACAUGCAUACCUUGUAGCGGUGCAGGGAACAGUAGCGUGAGCUGCAUCGAGGGCAUGUGUACUGGGAAAAUUGCUACUGGCAGCUGCAACUAACAAAAACAAAAACAAAACAAAAUUGAAUAAAAUCAAAAUCGGAAAAAUUUCCAGAAAAUAAAUAAAACAAAUUAUCAAGCUUUGUUGAUGAAAGAGAGGUGGGGUUGGUGAAGAACAUACACGCGGCUAUGAGCAGUAGACAAAAGAUUUCAAAAUGAUUUCUUCACUUUUCAAUCAGGACAUGCACGAAUAUAAAAAUGGCAGAGAGGAUUAAAACCAUACCAAACACUAGAAAAUCAAGUAUAAAAAUCGUACUUACCUUGUGAAUGAGGACAUGCAGACACAUGAUGGAUGAAGGACAGCAAAUCCCGCAUACACGAACCUAACUUGCCACUGUUCGCCACCCCCACCCCUCCCUAUCUCUCUCUCCCUGCAAUCGCGACGAUUUCUGUCACUGUCACCCUCCCACUCCCGAAUCGAAUAUCCGCACGAAAUCUCUCUCUCUCUCUCUCUCUCUCUCUCUCUCUCUCUCUCUCUCUCUCUCUCUCGCUCGGUUUCUCUCACUGUCACCCUCCCACUCCCGAAUCGAAGAUCCGCACGAAAUCUCUCUCCCUCUACAAGCGGCAUGGCCGCUGUCCCUCUCUGUCUGCCCUCACCAUCAAUCCCAAUCCCAAAAUUAAGAUGACAAAAGUGCCCUGCAACCCUUUAAUUCUAGCCGCGUGAUCCUAACCCUAGAUGAAUAUUUCUGGAAUUUGAACACCCAAAGUAUCUCAUCAAAUGUGGAUGUACCCACAGUAUGAAUCUGAGAAUUUCUCAAUUCAACUCUCGAAAUUACUGUGACAGUAUUAAUAUAUCAUGUGGAAUGAGGUGGUAUUAUGGUAAAAGAUAGAACUUUAGCUGAUGGUAAACAACAUUUGGGAAUUUGAUGUAAGCCGGCUGGGAAUCCCAAAUGUUGUUUACCAUAAGCUAAAAUUUAAUCUCUGAUUAAAAAAAUAAUAAUAAAAAGCACACCUCAAACUGACAAGGACCAUAAUUUUCAAGUGACACUGCUUUUCAAUGGUUACCAUAAAAAAAAUAAUAAUAAAAGAACUGAUCAUUUGAAUUAUUCAUGACAGAACCAAUUUUGAUUUGAAAUAUGAUGGCCAAGAACAAAUCACACUGCUUUUCAAUGGUUACCAUAAAUUUUCAGAAGUUACAGAAGAUUUUUUUAUCAAAUGAAAAGACAAUGGUCACAUAUAUCUACAAUUAACCACCAGUAAGCGUGAAAUAUUACAUCACAAUGCAAUAGCAGCUAUACAGGAUGCCAUGCCAUUCAUACUAUGACAAAUCACAAAAGUGACAAUUAAAGGGCACCUAACAGACACCCCCAUCUCUCUCUCUGCAAUAGCAGAAAUCCCUCGGGUUUCAGAAAGCAAAUGGAAAACAAAAUGCUUUUACAUCCCCUACCCAUACCCAUACCUCCCUUUACCCGUUCCCUUUACCCUCGCAGAAAAUCCUCCCAUCUCUCUCUCACCCUUGUCCCAUCUCUCUGUCUGCAAAUCGCAGAAAAGAAACCCUGAACAAAUCACUUAAAUCCCUCGCCUAAAUCCU
rnacentral:lncRNA from 1 species